UGGCUGCUCAAAUGUGAAAAAUAUUCCAGAAUUUGGGGAGCAGAUGAAGAAUGUGUCCUGGAUUUCCUUAAGUGGGACUGCGAUCGAGAAAAUACCUUCAUCAAUUGGACAUUUGGUUGGCCUCAGGGAAUUGCAUGUAAGGAAUUGCAAAAAUCUCUUGAACCUUCCAAGGGCAAUUUGUAAUUUGAAGUCUCUUGAAGGGCUCUAUGUGAAUCAAUGCUCAAAGAUUGACAAACUCACUGGAGACAUGGAUCGCUUAGAGGCGCUUCGUUGGGGACCCACUAUGACACAGCCGCUUGUGAGUAUGAAAAAUCUCAAAAGUCUAGUAUUUAAGACAAAUUCUGACAUAGCCACUUGUGGAUCGGAUGGUAAAGCAAGGGAUGGGUGGGGCCUUCGCCGCUUAUUUGGACUUCAAAAGAGUCACCCUGAUCCUCCUCCUUGUUGGGGUUUGGUGUUGUCUUCUCUAAAUCGUUUAUGCAACUUGAGGAGGUUAGAGCUAAAGAAUUGUAAUCUCCGGGAGGGGGAUAUCCCCGAUGAUAUUGGCUGCUUGUCCUUUUUGAGAGAAUUGUAUCUUAGGAGAAAUAAUUUUGUCAGGUCCAUCCAAUUUUUAUGGUGGUUCUGUCACUUGCCAGAAUUGCAUUGCAUUGGUUCAAGAUGAAGACUUGAGUAAUAGGAUUCUAAAAUCUGUCAUUCAGGUACUCUCUCUCUCUCUCUCUCUCUCUCUCUCUCUCUCUCUCUCUCUCUCUCUCUCUCUCUCUCUCUCUCUCUCUCUAAAUAAUUGAUCUUUCUUCUGCUACAGGGAUUGGAAAUUGUAAUCCCUGGAAGUGAAAUUCCAAAGUGGUUCAAUAAUCAGAGUGUGAGACAUUCAAUAAAUGUGGAGCUUCCUCCACUAUCAUGUACCAACUGGCUUGGGAUUGCCUUAUGUGCUGUUUCUCUAGACCCAAACCCUAUACAAAAUGUGGAGCUUCCUUAUUGCUUUAGUUUUAGAAUUCACCGUUCAGGGAAACUUGUUAGCCCUGAAAUACUUGGCCCAGAAUACAAUUGGAAUACCUUACCGUCUCUUGUGUCAGAAAACCUUUCGGUAUUUUAUAUUCCUCGUCAAUAUUGUUUGCCUCGUGAAGAUUGUCAUUAGGAACAGUUUUUAUUUGGAGUUAUCUUUGGUAAUGUGUAUGGGAGAGACCUAAAAGCAGGCUUGGAUAAGGUGAAGAAGUGUGGGGCUCGUUUGGUGUACAAGCAAGAUUUGAAAGAACUCAAUCAAAAACAUGGGGCUCGUUUGGUGUACGAGCAAGAUUUGAAAGAACUCAAUAAAAAACUACUGAAACGAACACAUGAAAUUCGUGACGAGGUAGCUCCAAGUGGACCUGGAAGUGCUAGCUUCAACCACACAGAACAUAUUCGCAAAAGGCGUUGUAACUAGUCACCAUGUCACAAAAAAUGCAUGUAAGUAACCAUCGAUUAAUCACAUCAGCUUAAUUGUAAUCAAAAUUAUUUUUUGUUUCGACGACAUCCUAGUCAAUGUAAUCAAUCUCUCGAUCUAUAUAUUAAGAUGGCUAUAUUUAAUGAAAGGUGAGUGAAUAAGAAUGUUGAUGCAUAAAGACUUUUGCAGAUUACUUGGGCAUUAAGAAGAUUGAUUAACAAUCUGAUCAUCUUGCCUAAUGCAGUAAGUGGGUACCUUGUAAACUCACGACGCCAUGGGGGCUGGUCUGUCGGUCCUGAUCUUAAGGUUCAUUUUCUGAAGACGCCAUUAGCGUUAACAUGUACACCAGGGGUUGAAUUCAAACUUCUGUACUCUGGCAGAAAUUGAUUUGUUUCUGUCUGAUUUUGUAACUAAUGCAAACUUGUAGUCCAGAAACAGAAACGUUGCGAAGGAAACAACACUUUUUGCUCAACAACUUUGGUUUGAUUAAAACUUGGCUUUGGUGAUGCAAAAAAUAAGCAUUGAGAGUAUUUUUCCUGAGAUCAUUGGAAAGGUUGUCGUAAAACUUAGAACAGCAAAUCAUACUAAUUUUUUUAAAACCCUUUUUACACGGUAGUUUUGAAGUUUAAACUUUAAAACAGCAAAUCAUACUUUUUUUUUAUUUUUUUUAUUUGUCAAAAGCAAAUCAUACUAAUUAACUCAGCUAAGAAAUAUUCAAAUAAUCCCCGGGCAAGCUGAGAGUAUGAUUGGAAAUUAGAAGUCUGACUUGGUCUAACAUCCCCGGGCAAGCUGACAGAUUGUAGCCCAACUGGAAGCUUGGACACCAGCAGUUUAAAUCGAGAUGAAGAUAACCCUUCGUGAAUAAAUCAGCAAUUUGAUCUUGUGAACAAAUAAAAUUCACCAGUAGCUCACCUCUAAUCACCUUCUCCCUGAAAUAAUGAUAAUCAACUUCUAAGUGCUUGGUUCUUGAGUGGAAAACUGGAUUGGAUGCUAAGGCAAUGGAAGACAAAUUAUCACACCAAAUCUGUUACCUUAGAAGAUUCUAAUGUACAUCCCUAAACAACGAACAUAACCAGGGCAACUCAGCGGCGGUGUAUGCAAGCUGCCUAUAUUCAGCUUCAGUGCUAGACCUGAAAACUGUUUUCUGUUUCUUCGAACUCCACGAUAUUAAGUUUUCACCCAAGUAUACACAGAAGCCUCCAGUUGAGGCGUGUCUAGGUUCUCUACAUAAUCACAAUCAAAGCGAAAAAAAUUCACAAAUGACUAGCAAAUAGAGGAAAACUUCCAGGAGUAGUCUGAAAAUAGUUUUCUUCUUUUCCGUAAACAAGUCCGAACAUACUUUUAUUUGCAAAGCAGAUCUGUCAAAACUGGAACAAUAGAUGAAAAUAAGGGCAAUGAGGGAAAACAUUCAACACAGGAAAAGACCAAAAUCUAGAAUGAAGUAAUUUAAAAUUGCCAUAAAUUACAAAGAAAAGUAGGGUAUAACACUAAAGAGCUACAUUAGAUAUGUUAUAUAAAUUUUGGAUGGAUCAGGCAUUCUCUGUAUCCUUGAAUACUUCUCAGGUGUUCUGCUGUUUGCUUUUAUAUUGCCAUUUCACAAUAUGGAAAGCAAGGAAUUAAAUCACGUGUGCUGUUGUCAAAAAUUAAGGCAAGGCAAACUAUGGAUUGACAAUUCGUGAUUUUAUAUUACCAUUCACAAUAUGAACAGCCAGUACCAUGCAAAGUUCCGUCCCCACCCCCCUAAGGUCCAUUGGACCUAUGGCUACAGCAAGGGCGUAACCGUAUCCCCAUAUACAUGAUAACUUGGCUAAAGAAUAUCGUUUUAUAUUUAAAGGUUGCAAACACUUGCUCUAACUGAUGCCUGACCUCAUUAGCAGUAGGCCAUUUGUUAUCACUAAUCUCCAAGGUCAAUUCAAAACAGCCACCAUUUUUGUAGUUCCAAUCUUGCAUGCCUCCAUAUAUAGGGUACCUACAACAGGUGUCUUAAGAAACAAUAGAUGAAUAUCAAACAGAAGGAAAAUAUACCUAUAAUAAGUUGUAAUGUUUCAAGCCAUCAUACCAGAAAGCUCGAUUCGUAAUCCCUCCCUCAAAUUCCUUGCGCAAUGACAUAUUGUAGCGAGAGCGACUAUAUACACUUGCUAAGAACCGGAAUGUCUCGUCGUCUGGACAUGCAAAAUAAUCUUUCCUGUAAUUUAAUUUAGAUCAAAAGACAAGAGCAUAUGUGCAAAAUAAAAAUUAAUAAGCGUUUAAAAAUUAAUAAGCGUUUAAAAAUUAAUAAGCGUUAGCAUAAAUUCUGGGAUAGUGUUAUUUAGAACUUACACAUAUUGUUAGGCACCAUCCGAAAAUCCAUAAUCAUAUUAGAAGUAAUCGGCAAUGUUCAUAACAUUACAGUAACACUUUAAGACCUACUAUUGACAUCACCAUGCUUGUUUCACACUAUAAAAGAAACAUUUAAAAACGUGAACACAUUGGGCAUCAUAGGUAAAAUUAAAUAAUGAUCAAAACCUACACUCUCACUGAGGCCAACGUACAAAAGAAACAUUCAACUCUCUUGCAAAAUUCUCUGAAAGAAACAUUGGGCAUCAUAGGUAUAAAUGAAACAUUCAACUCUCUUGCAAAAUUCUCUAAAUUCUCCAAGCACUUUUCCCUCAAAAUUCUAACUUUGGCAUCAGAGGCUCUUCCGCUAAAGCCCCCCCCCCCAACUUCAUCGUGAACGCAUAAGGCUAUUGGCCUUGACCUAAGAUGUUAUUUGUUUUGUAGGUGCAAUUUUGUCCAAGAACAAGGAGGAAGAAAUUUGCAUCCACAAAUUGGUGCUUUAAUUGAGAGUUGAGUCACACACUCCUAGAAGACUCUCACAUCUAAGGUUUUUCGUUUUCUUGUUCAUUUAUAGAUUUUUCAUACAUUCUUAUUCUUAGAAUUUUUAUUUCUAAAGAUUCUUUAGUAAAACGUAAAAGAAAGGUACAAUGGCAAGGGACUCGAAAACCUCGAAGAACGAAACUUUCUAUGUUCAAAGAUCCGGAUCGAAUGACGGAGGAUGAGAUGUAAACCCACCACAACGAUCCACAAGGCACCCAGCAUAUUUAUCAAAAAAUGCUCAAACUAUCACUUGAAAUUGCAUGAACGAGUAACAAUCGAUUUACAUUCUGGGGAAUGGAAAAGGAAGAAAAGAAAGUUUUCAAGUAGCACACAGAAUACAAAAAUACUACACUGUCAGUGUAUGCACACACUCAAUAAAUUGAAAUCCGGGUAGUAUGCAAAACUUUUUCGACAAAAAGUGAAAUUCAUGACUUCAGUUUUCGACAGUAAACGCGAAAUAUGGCAGGUGGAAAAUGAAAGACUAACAAUAAAACAAAAUAUUAAUAAUAUAUUAUUAGUUGCAGUGGAAUUUAGAAACAAUGAACAUUUUAAGGAAGAAGAUGAGGGAAAUGUAAAUAUCCAAUUGCACGAGAUUUUUCGGCAUGUACUUAUACAUUAUAAUAACUCCGCAUGUGUAAGUUUAUCUUACAUUGCCGGUCCCAAGCCCGGGUAAAGGAGGAGCGGGAGGGCGUCAGGUAGUCGACAGCCGGCACUCCACAGUUAUGUCGAAUCCUUAUGAAAAUGAAUCUAGAACGAAAUCGCGCUAAAGCUAGGGCGUCACCCGUAAGUGGCGCGCUGUGUGACCCGAGCACAGUGAUAAGUGAGCAAGGGUCGCUGUAUCUCUAUCGGCACCCGGAUGCAGUGUUAAAUGAGCAAGGGGGCCAUAGAAACUUCUUUUCGACUCCACUCAAAGUUGUUUGGGAGCAUAUGCUCCUAUCAACUUUACACAGGAUACACAAAAGAAGUACUUUGAUUCUAUUGGACGGGGGAGGGUGAAGAAGCUAGGACAGAAGGGUAGAGUUCAAGAGAGUAGAAUGCGUUUAGGAACGUGGAAUAUAGGAACCUUAACGGGAAAAUCUAUGGAAGUAGUGGAAGUUAUGGUGAGGAGAAGGAUAAAUAUUAUGUGCCUACAAGAAACUAAGUGGGUUGGUCUUAAGGCAAAGGAUCUAGAAAACUCAGGGUUUAAACUUUGGUAUUCGGGCACAAAUAGAACGAGAAACGAUGUUGGCAUCAUCGUGGACAAGACCUUGACACAAGAUGUUGUAGAUGUCAAGAGGGUAGGAGAUAGAAUCAUGGCAAUCAAGAUUGUAAUAGGACAAGAACUCGUCAAUGUGAUUAGUGCGUACGCACCUCAAGUAGGGUUGGAUACGAGUUCGAAGGAGAAAUUUUGGAAAGACCUUGGAGACUUGGUGCAAGGAAUUGCCCGGACGGAGAAGUUAUUUAUAGGAGGAGAUUUAAAUGGACACGUGGGCAGGGAGACAGGCAACUAUGGAGGUUUUCAUGGUGGCCAUGGUUUUGGGGAGAGAAACGAGGAUAGGGAAGCUAUCUUGGAUUUUGCAAUGGCAUAUGAUCUCUUCUUAACCAACACCUUCUUUAAGAAGAGAGAAGAACAUGUGAUCACCUACAAGAGUGGGUCGUCAAAAACACAAAUAGAUUUUCUUCUAAUGAGGAAAGGGGAUCGUAUAACUUGUAAGGAUUGCAAAGUUAUACCGGGAGAGAGCUUGGCUAAUCAACAUCGCUUGUUGUUGAUGGAUGUACAUAUCAAAAAAGUGAGAAAAAAAGAACAAGACUUGGAAGUGCCCAAGGACUAGAUGGUGGAAUCUAAAAGGAGAAAAACAAGCCAUUUUCAAAGAGAAAAUAAUCACCCAGUGUGGGUGGGAUAGAGAGGGGGAAGCUAGCCAAAGGUGGGAUUCCAUGGCUAGUUGUAUCCGAAAAGUAGCAAAAGAGGUAUUAGGAGAGUCCAAGGGCUUUACUCCACACCAAAAGGAAUCUUGGUGGUGGAAUGAGGAGGUACAAACAAAGGUGAAGGCUAAGAAGGAAUGUUGUAAAGCCUUAUACAAGGACAUGACCGAUGAAAAUGGUGAAAGGUAUAGAAGAGCGAAGCAAGAGGCAAAGAAAGCUGUGAGAUAAGCUAAGUUAGCGGCUUAUGACGAUAUGUAUAAGCGACUAGAUACCAAAGAAGGAGAGUUGGAUAUCUAUAAACUAGCUAGAGUAAGGGAAAAGAAGACAAAGGACCUAAACCAAGUGAGGUGCAUCAAGGAUGAGGAUGGAAAGGUUCUUGCUACAGAGAACGCAGUCAAAGACAGAUGGAGAGGUUAUUUUCAUAAUCAUUUCAAUAAAGGACAUGAAAGGAGUACUUCUUUAGGGGAGUUGAGUAACUCAGAAGAGUGUAGAAACUACUCCUUUUAUCGUCGAAUCAGGAAGGAAAAAGUGGUUGUAGCUUUGAAGAAGAUGAAGCAUAGAAAAGCAGUGGGCCCAGACGAUAUACCGAUCGAAGUGUGGAAAGUCUUGGGAGAGACAGGUAUAGCAUGGCUCACUGACCUUUUCAAUAGGAUUUUGAAAACGAAGAAGAUACCAAAUGAGUGGCGAAAGAGCACUUUGGUGCCUAUCUACAAGAACAAGGGCGACGUACAAAAUUGCAUGAACUAUAGGGGUAUUAAGCUAAUGAGUCAUACAAUGAAGCUCUGGGAGAGAGUCAUUGAGCAUAGAUUGAGGCAAGAGACACGGGUUUCGAACAACCAAUUCGGGUUCAUGCCAGGGCGCUCAACAUGGAGGCAAUCUAUCUCUUACGAAGAUUGAUGGAAAGAUAUAGAGAUGGGAAAAAUGAUUUACACAUGGUCUUUAUAGAUUUGGAAAAAGCAUAUGAUAGGGUCCCAAGAGACAUUCUUUGGAGGAUUUUAAAGAAGAAAUGAGUACGAGUGGCAUAUAUCCAAGCUAUAAAGGGUAUGUAUGAAGGAGUAAAGACUGCCGUAAGAACUUAUGAAGGACAAACCGAAAGCUUCCUCAUAACUGUAGGAUUACAUCAAGGCUCAUCCUUAAGUCCUUACCUUUUUGCGUUGGUAAUGGAUGAGUUAACAGGACAUAUUCAAGAUGAUAUUCCUUGGUGUAUGCUUUUCGCAGACGAUAUAGUGUUGAUAGAUGAAACUCAGGAAGGGGUAAAUGCAAAGCUUAACCUUUGGAGAGAAGUGUUGGAAUCUAAAGGUCUUCGCCUAAGCCGAUCAAAGACAGAAUAUAUGGAGUGCAAGUUCAGUGCAAAUGGAGGCCAAAAUGAGUUAGGGGUGAGGAUUGGCGAUCAGGAAAUACCAAAGAGCGAUCGUUUUCACUACUUAGGAUCUAUCUUGCAAAAGAACAGAGAAUUAGAUGAAGAUCUUAACCAUAGAAUACAAGCUGGAUGGAUGAAGUGGAAGAGUGCAUCCGGCGUGUUGUGUGACCGUCAUAUGCCACUGAAGCUCAAGGGAAAAUUUUAUAGGACGGCAAUAAGGUCGGCGAUGCUGUAUGGCACAGAAUGUUAGGCAGUGAAGCAUCAACACGUACACAAAAUGGGUGUAGCGGAGAUGAGGAUGCUUCGUUGGAUGUGUGGGAACACGAGAAAGGAUAAGAUUAGGAAUGAGGAUAUCCGAGGUAAAGUAGGAGUAGCCGAAAUUGUAGGAAAGUUUAGAGAAAAUCAGUUACGGUGGUUUGGACAUGUGCAAAGAAUGCCUACUGACACUCUGGUUAGAAGAUGCGACUACGGGACAGAGGUCCAGGGCCGAAGGAGUAGAGGAAGACCUAGGAAAAUUUUGGAAGAGACUCUAAGAAAAGACUUAGAGUAUUUGGAUUUAACGGAGGACAUGACACAGGACCGAGCACAAUGGCGUUCUAAGAUUCAUAUAGCCGAUCCCACUCAGUGAAGAAGGCUUUGGUGUAUUUAACACAAUACGUUGGAAAUGAAGCAAAGCUUAUUUAUUGAUAUCUCUGAUAAGUUACAAAUAUGUACAUAUACAUGAGUCAAAAUAAACAAACAAGAGGGAGCUUUCACAAAGGUUACUUAGGAGAAGUCUUAGCAAUCGGUAGAGCCCCAGAAAGAGAAGGCACCGAGGGGGAUCAUUCGGAGCCUUAGUACUGGACAGAACCCUAGAAGGAGGAGACAUCAGAGGUUGAUCAUUUAGAGCUUCAUUAUGCGGUACAGCCCCAGAAGACGAAGGCAAUAAAUGCCUUUGGAACAAACCCACAAACCGCUGAUGAUCAAGUAAAACCUGACCAUCAGAUUCCUUCAUCUGGUCAAGCUUCCUAUUCAUGUUUGUAGCAUAGUUAUGUGCGAGCCGAUGCAACUGUUUAUUCUCAUGCUUGAGCCCUCUAAUCUCCUAUUUGAGACUCAUCACUUCAGCCGCCAAUGAUUCAACUUGGCGGGUUCGAGCAAAUAGGCGUUGGGCCAUAUUAGACACAGAACCUGCACACUGAACACUCAGAGCCAAAGAAUCCUUCACAGCCAAUUCAUCAGAUCGUUUGGAAAGUAGUCUGUUAUCUUUGGGAGUGAGAAGGUUCCUGGCCACCACCGCAGCGGUCAUAUCAUUCUUCAUCAUGGAAUGCCCAACGGUAAAAGGACCAGUAGGGGAUAAGAAGGAUGGGCGCCAUAUGUUGUCUGGAGAAGGCGUGGCUGCCUCUUCAACAAGGUUCAAGUCAAAACGACGGUCGGAGGGGCCAGACAUUUUCAAAGGUGUUGAAGAGAGAAGAGGUUGAACAAAUCAAGAUCUUAGAAGUGCAAUAAGUGAGCUUCUACUGGUGAAGAUUCAAGUGUGCUUUGAAACUUAAUGUCAGCCUCUAUAAAAAUCUGCACUCGACGGAGCUUCAGAAAUCGAAGAGGCGUCUGCCCAGAAAUCAAAGAGGCGUCUGCCCAGAAAUCAAAGAGGCGUUUGCUUUCUCAAAAGCUGGGCUGCUCAGAGACCAUGAGGGUCGAUCUCAGAAAUCGAAGAGGCGUUUGCUUUCUCAAAAGCUGGGCUGCUCAAAGACCACGAAGGUCGAUCUCAGAAAUCGAAGAGGCGUUUGCUUUCUCAAAAGCUGGGCUGCUCAAAGACCACGAAGGCCGAUCUCAGAAAUCGAAGAAGCGCUUGCUUUCUCAAAAGCUGGGCUUCUCAGAGACCACGAGGGCCGAUCUCAGAAAUCGAAGAGGCACCUGCUUUUUUCAGCCUUGUCAGCACCUGUCACAUGCACACUCAGCUUUGCUGAAUUACGGGCAUUCUGUUGAAGAUUUCUGGUGAAGUGAAAAGCAAGUGAAUCUUACUGUUCAAUCAUCCACUUUUCACACGCACCAUCAGCUCAUGGGUACCACAGAUAACUUUGCCAAAGAUCUCUGACAAAGUUUAUACACGUGAAGCUUGCAGCUCCCACUACAUCGCUAUGACCAAGAAGGGUAAAAGAAUAGCAAAGAAACAACACUAACAAAGUUUAGACACAUAAAUUUUGAAGGUCUAGCUAUCAUAUUAUUACCCACAAGGGUAAAGGAACAGCACCACUGCUGGAUAAUUGGAAAGUCCUUGUGUGUCAACCUCUGUGCUCCGUGGCAAGGUAGAAUAGCAAACAUGCCCUACCUUUACUCACAUUCGAGAAAACACUCCCAACAAGAUUGCUUGCUCCAAAAUCGAAGAGGCACCGUCCUCCGACUCUCGAGAGCCAGACUCUCAACAUGAUUACUUUCUCAAAAAUCGAAGAGACACCACUCUCCGAAUCUCGAGAGCCAGACUCCCAGCAUGAUUGCUCUCUCAAAAAUCGAAGAGGCAUCGUUCUCCGAAUCUCGAGAGCCAGAUCCCCGACAGGAUUGCUUGUUCGAAAACCGAAGAGGCACCGCUUUCUCAACUUCGAGAGCCAGAUCUCCUUGGAUAAAGCUUGUCUGUAAUCUUCACGCAACAUCAGCUUUUCAGAUACCACAGACCACUUUUUCAAAGUGCUCUGACACACGUGAAGCUGGCAGCUCCCACUACCGUGCUAUGACUAAGCAGGGUAAAGGAAUAGCAUUACUACUUGUUGUUAGGGAGACUCCUAUAUAUGUCGACCUUCAUCCUCAACGGACAGGCAAACCUGCAAAAAUGCUCGACCCUUCCUCAUAUCUGAGAGGGCACUCCCGACGAAGCCUCUCAAAAUACUCAGCUUUCUUUCCCCCCGAUAAUACCUCUGCAACAAGCUACACCAGAGCAAGAAUAUCUAAUAUCAUCAGGGUUAAAAGCAAGAGUAUCCCAUAUCAUGCUUUUUUCCUUGUCUUUUCCUUUGGCCUUGUUCUUACCUGCAAGACAAGGAGAAAGAGAGCAAUCAGUCAGCAUUUGGAAUCAAGCUUCCAGUCAGGAACUGACUGCCUGGAACCCCUUACCUGAUUACUUACCUGGCAUUGCUCUCGAGUACUCAUCUUCAACAUCUUAUGCUUCCAGAGAAGACACCACAUCUGCCUAAGAAACCGAUAGGGAAAGUGAAAAGGAUACAAGGAAACAUGUGGAGACAAGCGUAACAGAACACGUGCCGAUACAUCCACUACUUUGUCAACAGCAAAAGUAUCCCAUAUCAGCACGGUCGAACGUACUCUAGAUUUGAUGGACUUGUUUUUGACCCUCAAAUUCUUCAGUCGGCCUUAUACUUUGGAGGAAACCAGAAAACCCUCCAGCCCAGUUCAAGAAUAAGCCUAUGGAAAGUUACUUCUUCAAAAGCAAAAGUAACUCAUAUCAUCUAUUCUCCUUUUCUUCUCUUUAUCCGCUGCCUGCAAGAUAGGGAGAAUGAGAACAAUCAGCCGGAACUCGAAAUCAAACUUCUGAUCUGGGACUAAUUGCUUGGAGCUCUGAUUGCUUACCUUGUUUAUCACCUCUUUCAGCAGAUCCCCUUGCUCGGCGACUUGGGGGACUCCUACUACAUGGUUUGUAUCGCGCUUGACCAAGCCUGAAACUACAAGUAAGCUUCAAGUGAAAUUGAUACAUUACCUUGUGCAUCUCCACCAGUUAAAGAUACCACCCCUGGAUGGAGGAAGAGUACUUAGAAGUUUCGUGAUUACGAGAUCAUUCUCCCACAAUAUUUCCUAAUGUCACUUGUACUCAAUCAUUCAUUUGUACUCACUAAAGGAGAGCUUGAACCUAUGUACUUGUGUAAACCCUUCACAAUUAAUGAGAACUCAUUUACUCCGUGGACGUAGCCAAUCUGGGUGAACCACGUACAUCUUAUGUUUGCUUUCCUGUCUCUAUCCAUUUACAUACUUAUCCACACUAAUGACCAGAGCAGCAAUAACUUAAUACUUUCUGUUGUACCAAAGUCCUCACUGAUUUUGUGUGCAUCAACAAUCCUUAAGUCCUUAACCUUUUGCGUUGGUAAUGGAUGAGUUAACAGGACAUAUUCAAGAUGAUAUUUCUUGGUGUAUGCUUCUCGCAAAUGAUAUAGUGUUGAUAGAUGAAACUCAGGAGGGGUAAAUGCGAAGCUUAACCUUUGGAGAGAAGUGUUGGAAUCUAAAGGUCUUCGCCUAAGCCGAUCAAAGACAGAAUAUAUGGAGUGCAAGUUCAGUGCAAAUGGAGGCCAAAAUGAGUUUAGAGGCGAGGAUCGGAGAGAUCAGGUAAUACCAAAGAGCGACCGUUUUCGCUACCUAGGAUCUAUCUUGCAAAAGAACGGAGAAUUAGAUGAAGAUCUCAACCAUAGAAUACAAGCUGGAUGGAUGAAGUGGAAUAGUGCAUCCGGCAUGUUGUGUGACCAUCGUAGGCCACUGAAGCUUAAGAGAAAAUUUUAUAGAACGGCAAUAAGGCCGGCGAUGCUGUAUGGCACAGAAUGUUGGGCGGUGAAGCAUCAACACGUACACAAAAUGGGUUGGACAUGUGCAAAGAAGGCCUACUGACGCUCCGGUUCGAAGAUGUGACUACGGGAUAGAGGUUCAGGGCCGAAGGGGUAGAGGAAGACCUAGGAAAACUUUGGAAGAGACCCUAAGAAAAGACUUAGAGUACUUGGAUCUAACGGAGGACAUGACACAAAACCGAGCGCAAUGGCAUUCUAGGAUUCAUAUAGCCGACCCCACUUAGUGAGAAAAGGCUUUGUUGUUGUUGUUGUUGUUGUACUUAUACAUUAUAAUCUUUGUCAUGUUACAGCUUCUCAGUUUCAUUAUAAGUUUCUUGUGGUCUCGUAGCAGUUUCCUUUAUUCUUUCCAUACAAGAUCAGAGAAAAAGUAACAAAAAAUUGUGACUAAAAACUGCCCUCAAAACACAUACAAUUGAUAGAGUCUGUCCUUUCUCAGGGACAAGUAACAUAAUUGAACUAGCGGAAUGAAUAAAACUUUUCUAAAGAGUGCAGAUGGAUAUUCUCCAACACCAGAAUCAACUCAAUUCGGUGGUAAACAGGUAUUGCACCCUUCUGGAUUCAAAGGUGCAAUAAGCUAGAAGCUACAUCGCACUUUUUUAACUUCCACUAAUAAGAAAUCAAUGUAAUUAAGUUUCUGACCCUUAUUCAGCGUUAUUGUUGCAAAAAGAUUUUCUGGUACUGGUGCCUGAAUCCUUAUUACACAGCUCUAUGGUUAAUUUCAGUUUCAAGCAGCUGCAAGGACUAAUUUGUGCUAAUCUUGAAGGAAUCAAAGCAUGUUCCUGUUCUUUUGAAUCAUAACUUUUUCUGGGUUAUGGAACAAAUAUAAUUUCCACGUUAUUAUUUUUUUCAAAAAAAAAAAUUCUACGUUAUUAUUAUUUACAGAAGGGAAGGGGGGACGCUAACGCAUUUUCCUUCAAAAAUCCUGCCAUGUUCCAAAAAAUUGAUUGUAUACAGGAAGGAUUAAAAUUUCAGGAUUCAAAAGUUUUUACCAAAUGGCGGCUUCAGGCUCUUCCACCCCGGGCUAAGCAGAAAUUGUUACUACCCACUACAGGCAAUAAUACAUCAAACAUUACCAACUUCAUAAGAUGUGAGUCAAGAUGUUAUUCUAAUAAAUAAAACUAAAGCGACAAAAACAAAGAGGAAAACUUCAGUGAAACGAUUACCAGCGGAACCCUAUUCACACUCUUCUCUAUUCACAUUUUCGGUAAACAUAUAAUUAUAUCAAAUUAGAUUAUAUAAUUCUUGUUAAGCUACUAAGCUUCAACUUUAGUGAUAAAUACCGCGUCUGAGACUCCUUCUCUUCAAACAAUUGCCUGCCGGAACCAGCGCGAGGACCAAAUUCGAAACCUAUCAACAUUUAAUUUACAAUUAGCUAAAUUCUUAAUGCUUAAAGAUUUAGUUUCCUUUUCUAGUAGCGCUAAUCCACCUAAAAUGUAAAGAAUUUAAGGAAGCAAUAGGCAUGAUAAUCUAUCUGAUCAUAAUUAACUACCGUUUGGUACCUGAAAUAUCAAAGGAAAAUUUUUCAAUUUACUUCUUGUUCUUGUAAUCUCAGUUUUUCAACUCCCAAAGAACUAAAUGCACACACAUGAAUAUAGAAUGCAUACAAAUACAAGGACGGAGCUACCAUGGGCCUAGGGGGGCGGAUGCCCCCAUUGAGAUUUUUCUGACGCUGGGAUGCUGCUCAAAUUGAGCUGGGUUUGCAGCAGCAAAGCCCCCACUGAACUCAUCUGGUUCUGCUCUCCGACCUGGUUCUGCAAGAAGCAGAGCUGGGUCUUAUAUUUUUUUUUUUUUAAAUCCAGGCCAAAACGACGUCGUUUUGGUCCUGGUACAAAAAAAAAAUAAAUGAAACAGCGUCGUUUCGUAUAUGUUAACAAAAAAGAAAGUAUGUUAAAGGUGGACUGUGGGGACAAGCGGUCCCCCCUUUAAUCUCUAACCCCAUUCCCUGAUUCCUUCCCAUCUCUCUGUUCCUUUUUAUUUCCCUUGCCAAACAGAGAGCAGCGUGGUGCUACUCUCUUUCCCCAAAUUCCCAACAUCUUGAAACUGAACAGAACAGGAGCAAGGUGUUGUUCCCAGCCACGCCAACAGUUAGCCACUCCAGCCAGCUACUCUCUAGCCGACAUAUAUAUAUUUAUGGUAAAAUUCUUAAUUCCUAAAUCUAUAAUCCCUAACCCUAAUUAAUUAUUUAAGACGUUGGGAAAGGCAAAAAUCAAGAAACUACUUUGAAACGUGCUGGAGAAACACGUUGGGGUUCACACUUUGGUACUUUAGUAAGUAUCAUGACUAUGUUUUCAUCCAUACUUGAUGUACUUGAAGUAAUAGCAGAUGAUGGAGUAAGCUCUCAACAAAGAUGUGAAGCAAAUAAUUUAUUGGAUUCCAUGCAAUCAUUUAAUUUUGUGUUUAAUCUACACUUGAUGAAAGAUAUACUAGGAAUAACCAAUGAAUUGUCACAAGCAUUGCAAAGGAAGGAUCAGGAUAUUGUAAAUGCAAUGAAGUUGGUUGGAGUUUGUAAGCAAAGGUUGGAGAUAAUGAGGAAAAGUGGUUGGGAUUCUUUACUUAGUGAAGUCUCAGAAUUUUGUCUUAAACAUGAUAUUGAUGUGCCUAAUAUGGAUGAUAUGUUUCUUUCUCGAAGGCGAGGGCAACGAAAAGCACAAGCAGUCAUAAAUAUGCAUCAUUAUUGUGUUGGGAUAUUUUAUGUUGUUUUGGAUUGGCAGCUUCAAGAACUAAAUAAUCGUUUCAAUGAGACCAACACUGAGUUACUUCUUUGUUUGGCAUGUUUAUGUCCAGCCGACUCCUUCUCUGCUUUUGAUAGCCAAAAGCUAUUGCGUCUUGCCCAGUUUUAUCCUAAAGACUUCUCUAUGAAUGAGCUGGUGAUACUUAAGAUUCAACUUGAGACUUACAUUAUGGAUAUGCGGUCUAGCAUUGAGUUUUCAAGUUUAAAAGAGAUUGGAGAUCUUGCAAAAAACAUGGUUCAAUGCAAAAAACACAAGGUGUAUUCGCUGGUUUACUUGUUUGUGACAUUAGCACUAACUCUUCCAGUUGCUACUGCAACCGUUGAAAAAGCAUUUUCGGCCAUGAAAAUUCUGAAGAAUCGAUUGAGAAAUCGAAUGGGAGAUCAAUGGAUGAAUGAUAACAUGGUUAUUUUUAUAGAGAGAGAGAGAUAUUUAAUGGUAUUGGUAAUGAUGUUGUCAUGCAACGCUUUCAGAACAUGAAAACACGUCGAGGGAUAUUGUAAGGGACUGUUGUAUGAAAAACUUUUUGGAUUAAUAUAUAAGUAUUGUGUUUAGUAAAUUCUUGAGCUUUUUAAUUAUGACUUUGUUGUUUGAGGAUGACCCCAUUCACACACAGCAGUUCUGGCUUCGUCCCUGUACAAAUAUGUAUGUAUGUGUGUGUGUGUGUGUGUGUGUGUGUGUGUGUGUGUAUGACAGAUGAGGAGACGGGGACCUGGAGGGUAGGAACUGUGAAGGCCGCCUCUAGCGGUGGCAGGACGAAGAAAAGAGGAGAAGCCUGAGAGAGAGAGGAACAGGAUGGAAAGAGCAAGCUUCAUGAUGUGAUCUUUGGAUUGACGAUGGUGGCGAUGGAGCUCCAGAAUCGAAUUCAGGAAGCCAUUGUUGGAACUUGGAAGGAGUAAAAGAAGAUGAAAACGUAACGACGAAGAUUGGAGAUGCUGGAUCUCGGGGGGAAAAUGGGCUGCAAAUUCCAUUGGAAGCGAAGUAACGGGGACUUCGAGAUAUGGGUUGCAUAUGAAUCUCGGCCCAUUUUUCAAACCGCCCGAACCAAACUAAAUUCUAUAGGUUGAUUUUUUUUUUUUAAUAAACAACAAUAUUUUACAUUAUAGGGCUUCAAUUGGCAUAACAAGAUUUAAAGUUUCUAAUUUUUUUUUCAUUGCUCAUUUUUUGUUUUUCUUGUUCAUUGACUACUGUUUUUGUUUGCAAAACCCAUUUUUCGGUAAAUGAAUAUGACUCAACAACUUAAACUGAGUUAAUGGGGACUGUAAGAUCAAAUCAAAUUGUCAAAUAUGUGUUGACACUAAGUCAUAUAUUUGACCGCAGUGAGUUCAUGUAGUUACGAAUAAAAAUUGUAUCUUGUAAUUGAUAAACCUAAUAAUUCUACAGGUUAUCCACGUCAGCAAUCCUUGUCAACUCAGCAACCACAGUCCGCAAUAUAUGGUUCUCACUCAACCACUCCAACACAGAGUUUGGAUAACACACAAUGUCCUCAACAGAUUGAGAAGGAUCAUAGUCCUCCUUAAACAUGACUCUAUCAUCAUAGUGUACCUUAGCUUUCUGUUAUGUAUUUUUGUAAUUUGAAUUCGAUUGUAAUUCUGAUACCAGAUUCAUUGUAAUCUUGUAAAGCCUAUAUAAUGAAGUACAUGACUCACUCAUAAUUAAUUGAGUUGAGCUUAUGCAAUUGAUUAUUUCAACCCUAGCUUGAAUUCUUUCAUGGUAUCUCAGAGCUAAAGUCUCACCACAAAAACAAAUUUUUUUUUUUUCAUGGCGUCCUCUUCUUCUCCCUUACCUAAUGCCUCCAAUUUUCUCACCCUUAAACUUGAUCGUACCAACUACCCUCUCUGGCAAGUUCAGAUGCUUCCUCUUCUCCGCAGUCGCAAUCUUGUCUCUUUUGUCGAUGGCACCAGUCAAUGCCCCCAGCAUUUCUGCAAGAUGCAGAUGGCAACAUCACUGACAAAGUCAAUCCUGACUUCGAAACCUGGAUUCAACAGGAUGCUACAUUUCUGUCCUGGAUUAAUUCUUUUGUUCACCCCACUGUCCUUGCUGCUUUAAUUGGGAAAACCAGUUCUCACUCUGCUUAGACAACCUUCCGUGACCGCUAUGCCUCUCAGUCAACCGGCCGUCUUCUUCAGCUUCACAGUGAGUUGAUGAAUACUCACAGAGGUGAUUCCUCCAUUUCUGAAUUUUUAGAUAAAAUCAAUUGUCUAGCAGAGACUCUCUCUCUCUGGUGCUCCUGUUUCAGACUCCGACAUUGUCGCCAUCAUCCUUAACAAUGUUGGUCCUGUUUAUGAGAGCAUGGUUGCCUCCGCUCAAGCUCGUGACGAGGCCAUCACCUACAGUGCUUUGGAAGCACUCCUCAUUGGCGCUGAAAGAAGACAGAAAUUGCGUUUUGCUUUUACUACUGACACCGACCCAACUGCCUUUGCUGCAGUUCACAAUGGUGGUCGUUCAUCUCCCAGUUUUUGCGGUCGUGGCUCAUCUUCUACAUUCCGAGGUCGCAACAGUCCCACUGGUGGUCGUUGGUCCUCUUCUCGGCCAUGCAACUCCCCAGGUUCUCAUCAUGGAUCUCACCAACAUUCUCACUCUCGCCAACCUGAUGGUCUUCUUGGUCAAUCUCCAAGUUCUUUUCCUACUGGUCGGAUCCAAUGCCAAAUUUGUAACAUACAUGGUCAUUCGGCAAUCGGCUAUUUCAACCGUCUCAACCUGUCUUAUGAAGGGCGUGUUCCAGCGCCAAAACUUCAAGCCUAUACUGCUGGUGUUCCCCCUGCCUCUGCUAGUGCUCCAGCUCUCCAGAAUUGGCUUUUCGACUCUGGUGCCAAUGCCCACAUCACCAAUAAUCCAGCUCAGGUGUUUAAUCCUUGUCCUUACCAUGGUACUGACCAAGUCAAUGGUGUAGUAGGUGGAACAGGUUUGCACAUCUCUCAUAUUGGAAACUCUUGCAUUCGCACACCCAAAGCCAUUUUUAAAUUACCCAACACACUAUUUUGCCCUACUGCAUCCACCAAUGUCAUAUCCAUUCAUAAAUGUACCACUGACAACAACUGUUCCCUAACCUUAUAUCCAAAUUCCUAUGGUGUUCAGGAUCUUCACAUGGGGAAGACACUUUUCCAAGGCCCGAGUAGAGAUGAUUUCUACCCUUUUUCCAGUAUUUCAUCAUGCAAUAAAGGAGUCUCUACAUUCAUAGGUGCUAGGGUGUCCAAUCAUGUUUGGCACUCUAGAUUAGGUCAUCCAUCAACUCAUGUUUUGAAUUCUUUAAUUUUCAAGAAUAAGUUACCCGUGAAUGGUGUUGUAACUAGUGACUUUUGUCACUCCUGUCCACUCGGCAAGAGUCACAAGUUACCCUUUACUUUGUCUAGUUCUAGGUCAACUUUUCCUUUACAAUUAAUUCAUUCGGGUGUAUGGACUUCUCCCUAUGUUUCAAUCAAUGGAUUUAAGUAUUAUGUAGUAUUUAUUGAUGACUUUUCUAGAUACUCCUGGUUAUAUCCAUUAAAACUAAAAUCAGAUGUUUUUUCUACCUUUGUAAAUUUUAAAAAAUUAGUUGAAAACAUGUUUAGCACCACAAUCAAAUCCUUUCAAACCGAUGGUGGCAGUGAAUAUAUUAAUAAUAAUUUCAAAACUUUUUUUACUUAUCAUGGUAUAUAUCAUCGUUUCACAUGUCCUCAUCAUCCCAAACAAAAUGGUAUUUUCAGAAUGUAAACAUCGUCAUAUUGUUGAAACCGAUCUUACUCUUCUUGCUCACGCAUCUUUACCCACUUCCUUUUGGGAUGAUGCUUUUCAUACUGCAACUUAUUUAAUCAAUCAGUUACCCACUAAGGUCUUGAAUGAUGAGUCCCCAUUUCAAAAACUCUUUCUCAAAACUCCUCAUUAUGAUAUUCUUCUUAAAAUAUUUGGCUGUGCAUGUUUCCCAUAUCUUAAGCCAUACAACUCCAAUAAAUUACAGUUCCGUUCUACCCGUUGUGUGUCUUUCUUCUUGGUUACUCAUUAAAUCAACAAGGUUAGAGCAACUUCACCCUUGGAGCCCUUCCCCCUGGCAAUCCACUAUUGAAUCCACCAUAUUGAACAGUAACUGCCUUUAAUGAAUAGUAACUACCUUUAAUGAACAGUAAUUAUCUUUUGCAUCUCCACACUUGGAACUCUCCCCCUGACAAUAAGUAAUAAAAUAUUAGUUUUUUUUUGUUUGUUUAAAUAAUAUAAAAUAAAAAAAACAUGGAAAUGGGGCUGCAGGCCCUCGGGCUGACACAAAAAAAAAUAAAAAAAAAUGCUUAGCCCUCGGGCUGCAGGCCUGUCAAUUCCCCACCCCCCUUGUGCUCGGGCUCUCUAAGGCUGGAGGGUUGUCCACCUGGCCUCGGGCCCUUUCCUGGUGCCUGUCCCCCGAGCAAUCCACAAGGAUGGACUUGCUCUUAUAAGUGUCUAGAUAUGUCUACCGGUCCCGUCUUCUUGUCACGUCAUGUUCAUGUUGUCUUGAUGAAACUACUUUUCCCUAUAAAGAAACCACCUCUACUCCGUUUUCUUCUUCUCCCUCCUCACCUAACAUCAUAAUUAAUAUUGACCCCCCCAUGCCCACUUUUCAACCCAUGUCGCGUCUUCUUGUCACGUCAUGUUGUGAAACUAUUUUUUCCUAUAAAGAAACCACCUCUACUCCGUUUUUUCUUCUCCCUCCUCACCUAACAUCAUAAUUAAUAUUGACCCCCACCAUGCCCACUUUUCAACCCAUUUCCCCGACAUCACCUACACCUAUCUCUUCCAUCCCUAAUGCUACCCCAUGUCCUACGCCUACCCCACUUCCAUCACCUAUACCCAUUUCUGCCACCCCUAUUUCACCUCCAUCACAUCUUCCUGCCAAAACACUUCCCACUCCACCCGUCCCUUCUGCCAACCCCACGCCGUCCUCCUUCAAUCCUCCAGCUAAUAAUUCACCCUUAGAUCCCCUAGUAUCUCUCCACCCUGCGACUGCAAGUACAUCCACUACCAAAAGAAGAUUUAAAGUUUCAAAUUCUUUUUAUAAAUCUAAAACAUUGAUCUUCUAUCUUUUUACUUGUUCACUCAGUUACUGUCUGCAAUACCCGAUUACAACAACUGUUUUCUUCGAUGGCAUUGACUUUGAGCACCAAUAGAGCCUCGGCAUCUUUUCUUUUCAAUGAAUCAGCUCCUCGAUGGAAGUAUGAUGUGUUUUUGAGUUUCAGGGGUGUAGACACCCGCAAGGGUUUUGUAUCCCAUUUACACCAUGAAUUGUCCAAGUGCCAAGGAAUUACGACUUUCAUGGACGAUCGAGAGCUUCAAGGAGGAGCAAGUAUUCAUGUUGAGCUACCAAGUGCGAUCAAAGAAUCGCAUAUUGCAAUUGUUGUUCUCUCACCAAACUAUGCUUCUUCCAAAUGGUGCUUGGAUGAACUCACAACCAUUCUUCAAUGCAUGGAAGCCAGGAACUCAGUUCUGCCGGUCUUUUAUCAGACAGAUCCAUCUGACGUCGGAAAUCAACGGGGAUGUUUUGCCGAAGCCUUCGCGGAGCAUGAAGAAAAGUUGAUCAGUAUCGAAGGCAAAAAGAAGGUGCUCCAAUGGAAAGCUGAUCUAAAGCGAGUGUCCAAAAUUUGUGGUUGGACUUCGAAGGAAUCUAAGUAAGCAUGAACAACUUUAAUUUCCCAUGUCUUAGUAGAGUCAAAAUUGAAUGCUUCGUUUAUGUUUUUUCAAUGGUUAUUUUUAUUUAUACCAUGUAGGUGUGUGAAAGUGAGCUUAUACAAAAAUCGUUAAAAGUGUGUGGAGGAAAGUGCAAGCUACACUCCCGUUGUUAGAUUCCUCACAAAAAUUAGUUGGGGUUAAUUUUGGGCUUGGGCAACUAAGUUCUCUAUUAGCUCAUGAUGUCAAUGAUGUACGCUUUAUAGGGAUAACGGGGAUGGGUGGCAUAGGUAAGACAACCCUUGCUAAGCUUGUUUAUGAUAGAAUCUUUCAUCAUUUUGAAGUUCACUGCUUUCUCGGCAACCUUAGAGAGGUUUCUAAUGUUUGAUCUUCAAAAAGACUUCUUUUUCCCGGUGUUGAGGGAAAAGAUUGAAAGAAAUUUGGGAUGAAGAGCGCGAAAUCAUUUUCACUAAGAAGUGCUUGCGCAACAAAAAAGUUCUUCUUGUACUUGAUGAUGUGGAUCACAUAAACCAGCUACAAGUACUAGCUGGAAACGAAGAUUGGUUUGGCAUGGGAAGUAGAAUUAUCAUUACAACUAGAAAUGAACGUCUGCUAGUCCAGCAUGACAUAACAUUAUGUCAUAAUGUCAAAGUGUUAGAUAAAGGCGCAGCUCUUGCACUGUUUAGCCUUCAUGCCUUUUAAGAAAAAUCUGCCCGAGGAUGGGUUUUGGGAACUGUCAACGUAUUUCAUUAAUUAUGCUGGAGGCCUUCCAUUAGCUCUUGAAACUUUGGGGUCAGCAUUGUUUAAGAGAAGGCUAGACACUUGGAAUAGUGUGUGGGAUAAUCUGUCAAAAACUCCUAAUCCAGCAAUUUUUGAUAAACUUAAAAUAAGUUUAUGAUGGACUAGAAGAGAGUGGGAGAAGAGAAUUUUUCUCGACGUUGCAUGUUUCCACAAAGGGAAGUACACGAAUGAAGUAAUUAAAAUGCUAGAUAAUUCUCUUGGAAUCUCUAGUAGUAGUAUGAUAGAUGUACUAAUUGAGAGAUCUCUCAUCUAUCAAGAUCAUGAAAACUGCAUACGGAUGCAUGAUUUGAUUCAAGAAAUGGCAUGGACAGUUAUUGUUCAAGAGUCUAAGAGAGCCUGGUCAACGUAGUAGGUUGUGGCUUUACAAUGACAUUGAUCAUAUAUUCACGACGAAUACGGUAAAAAGUUAAAUACUAAGUUUGGAAGAAGAUAUGAUUUCUUUUGACACUAUAUUAUUAUAUGAAAUUAAUUCGUCAUUUUUUUUUCCUUUAACUGUUAGGGAACAGGAGCAAUUGAAGCCAUAUCCUUACGCCUGCUCAAAGUAGAAGAGGUACGCCAGUGGAAUUGCGAAGCCUUCUCAAAGAUGGAUGGACUGAGGUUUUGGAAUUCGAUAAUUUGAUAUUUUCUUCAGGCCCCAAAUUUCUUCCCAUGUUCCUUGAGAAUUAUAAAUUGGAGUUGGUAUCCUUCUAAUUUUCUUUCCAAACCAGCUUUCGCCCGCACUUGCUUGCUAAACUUGAGAUGCGUAAUAGCAAUCUUGUUCGUCUAUGGGAGGGAAAAUGGUAAGAGUAGUUAUGAACAAAAGAUAAUAUUGGUUACUCACUAGUUAAUACUCACUUUUUUGAUUUUGUCAAAUGAUAUUUUAACACAUAUUAUUUUUAAAAUAAUAGACGUGUUAUUUAAUUUUUCUGGAGUUUUAAAAUUAAGGAACGCUUGAUAUUUUUUUAUUGUACAAUUCCGAAGGUUCCAAAUUUCUUCAUAUUCAUUGAGAAUAAAUGUUAUUAUUAAUUUACAAAAUAAUCAUUUAUAUUAAUUUAUUAUUUUGAAUAAACUUUAAGGUUGUGGAAGCUAAGUAUAUGAUCUGAACCUUGUCGGGUGAUGUUGUGCAGGACUUACCCAACUUAAAACAUAUUGAUAUUAGCAACUCCUAUAAAUUGAAGAGUAUCUCAGAUUUCAGUGGUAUUCCAAAUCUUGAGAGGUUGAUCCUUUGGGAUUGUAAAAAUUUAGUUGAGAUACACCCGUCUAUUUGCAAUCCUCAAAAGACUUAAACAUUUGCUUCUUAAUGGCUGUUUUGAAAGCAUUAAUAGCCUCCCAAGUGAGGUUGAAAUGGAUUCUCUUGAGACUUUCGAUCUUGAUGGCUGCUCAAAUGUGAAAAAGAUUCCAGAAUUUGGGGAGCAGAUGAAGAAUGUAUGGCGGAUUCACUUAGAUGGGACUGCGAUCGAGAAAAUACCUUCAUCAAUUGGACAUCUGGUUGGCCUCAAGGAAAUUGCAAAAAUCUCUUGAACCUUCCAAGGGGCGAUUUGUAAUUUGAAGUCUCUUGGAUAUCUCAGUGCGAGUGGAUGCUCAAAGAUUGACCAACUCCCAGGAGACAUGGAUCACUUAGAGGCGCUUUGCUGGGACCCACUAUGACAGAGCCGCUUGUGAGCAUGAAAAAUCUCAAACGUCUAGUAUUUAAGACAAAUUCUAACAUAGCCGCUUGUGGAUCAGAUGGUAAAGCAAGGGAUGGGUGGGGCCUUCGCUGCUUAUUUGGACUUGAAAAGAGUCGCCCUGAUCCUUCUCCUUGUUGGCGUUUGGUGUUGUCUUCUCUAAAUCGUUUAUGCUCUUUGACAGAGUUAUCUCUAGAGAAUUGUAAUCUCCAGGGAGGGGAUAUCCCCGAUGAAUAUGGCUGCUUGUCCUUACUGGAGUAUUGUAUCUUAGUAGAAAAUAAUUUCGUCAGUCUACCUGAAAGCUUUAGACGCCUUUCUAAACUUUUCAGUCUUGAUCUAGAGGGGUGUAUAAGCCUUCAAAAAUUGCCUCCUCUUCCAUCAAACAGAGGACUAAGAGUAAAUCUGGACAAUUGCACUUCCUUACAAAGGUUGUCAGGUCCAUCCAGUUUUUUAUGGUGAUUAUGUCACUUGCCGGAAUUGCAUUGCAUUGGUUCAAGAUGACGACUGAUUCAAUUAGGAUUCUAAUAUUUNNNNNNNNNNNNNNNNNNNNNNNNNNNNNNNNNNNNNNNNNNNNNNNNNNNNNNNNNNNNNNNNNNNNNNNNNNNNNNNNNNNNNNNNNNNNNNNNNNNNNNNNNNNNNNNNNNNNNNNNNNNNNNNNNNNNNNNNNNNNNNNNNNNNNNNNNNNNNNNNNNNNNNNNNNNNNNNNNNNNNNNNNNNNNNNNNNNNNNNNNNNNNNNNNNNNNNNNNNNNNNNNNNNNNNNNNNNNNNNNNNNNNNNNNNNNNNNNNNNNNNNNNNNNNNNNNNNNNNNNNNNNNNNNNNNNNNNNNNNNNNNNNNNNNNNNNNNNNNNNNNNNNNNNNNNNNNNNNNNNNNNNNNNNNNNNNNNNNNNNNNNNNNNNNNNNNNNNNNNNNNNNNNNNNNNNNNNNNNNNNNNNNNNNNNNNNNNNNNNNNNNNNNNNNNNNNNNNNNNNNNNNNNNNNNNNNNNNNNNNNNNNNNNNNNNNNNNNNNNNNNNNNNNNNNNNNNNNNNNNAGCACCUGUCACAUGCACACUCAGCUUUGCUGAAUUACGGGCAUUCUGUUGAAGAUUUCUGGUGAAGUGAAAAGCAAGUGAAUCUUACUGUUCAAUCAUCCACUUUUCACACGCACCAUCAGCUCAUGGGUACCACAGAUAACUUUGCCAAAGAUCUCUGACAAAGUUUAUACACGUGAAGCUUGCAGCUCCCACUACAUCGCUAUGACCAAGAAGGGUAAAAGAAUAGCAAAGAAACAACACUAACAAAGUUUAGACACAUAAAUUUUGAAGGUCUAGCUAUCAUAUUAUUACCCACAAGGGUAAAGGAACAGCACCACUGCUGGAUAAUUGGAAAGUCCUUGUGUGUCAACCUCUGUGCUCCGUGGCAAGGUAGAAUAGCAAACAUGCCCUACCUUUACUCACAUUCGAGAAAAACACUCCCAACAAGAUUGCUUGCUCCAAAAUCGAAGAAGGCACCGUCCUCCGACUCUCGAGAGCCAGACUCUCAUCACAUGAUUACUUUCUCAAAAAUCGAAGAGAAGACACCUACUCUCUCAUCGAAAUCUCGAGAGCCAGACUCCCAGCAUGAUUGCUCUCUCAAUCAAAAAUCGAAGAGGCAUCGUUCUUCUCCGAAUCUCGAGAGCCAGAUCCCCGACAGGAUUGCUUGUUCGAAAACCGAAGAGGCACCGCUUUCUCAACUUCGAGAGCCAGAUCUCCUUGGAUAAAGCUUGUCUGUAAUCUUCACGCAACAUCAGCUUUUCAGAUACCACAGACCACUUUUUCAAAGUGCUCUGACACACGUGAAGCUGGCAGCUCCCACUACCGUGCUAUGACUAAGCAGGGUAAAGGAAUAGCAUUACUACUUGUUGUUAGGGAGACUCCUAUAUAUGUCGACCUUCAUCCUCAACGGACAGGCAAACCUGCAAAAAUGCUCGACCCUUCCUCAUAUCUGAGAGGGCACUCCCGACGAAGCCUCUCAAAAUACUCAGCUUUCUUUCCCCCCGAUAAUACCUCUGCAACAAGCUACACCAGAGCAAGAAUAUCUAAUAUCAUCAGGGUUAAAAGCAAGAGUAUCCCAUAUCAUGCUUUUUCCUUGUCUUUUCCUUUGGCCUUGUUCUUACCUGCAAGACAAGGAGAAAGAGAGCAAUCAGUCAGCAUUUGGAAUCAAGCUUCCAGUCAGGAACUGACUGCCUGGAACCCCUUACCUGAUUACUUACCUGGCAUUGCUCUCGAGUACUCAUCUUCAACAUCUUAUGCUUCCAGAGAAGACACCACAUCUGCCUAAGAAACCGAUAGGGAAAGUGAAAAGGAUACAAGGAAACAUGUGGAGACAAGCGUAACAGAACACGUGCCGAUACAUCCACUACUUUGUCAACAGCAAAAGUAUCCCAUAUCAGCACGGUCGAACGUACUCUAGAUUUGAUGGACUUGUUUUGACCCUCAAAUUCUUCAGUCGGCCUUAUACUUUGGAGGAAACCAGAAAACCCUCCAGCCCAGUUCAAGAAUAAGCCUAUGGAAAGUUACUUCUUCAAAAGCAAAAGUAACUCAUAUCAUCUAUUCUCCUUUUCUUCUCUUUAUCCGCUGCCUGCAAGAUAGGGAGAAUGAGAACAAUCAGCCGGAACUCGAAAUCAAACUUCUGAUCUGGGACUAAUUGCUUGGAGCUCUGAUUGCUUACCUUGUUUAUCACCUCUUUCAGCAGAUCCCCUUGCUCGGCGACUUGGGGGACUCCUACUACAUGGUUUGUAUCGCGCUUGACCAAGCCUGAAACUACAAGUAAGCUUCAAGUGAAAUUGAUACAUUACCUUGUGCAUCUCCACCAGUUAAAGAUACCACCCCUGGAUGGAGGAAGAGUACUUAGAAGUUUCGUGAUUACGAGAUCAUUCUCCCACAAUAUUUCCUAAUGUCACUUGUACUCAAUCAUUCAUUUGUACUCACUAAAGGAGAGCUUGAACCUAUGUACUUGUGUAAACCCUUCACAAUUAAUGAGAACUCAUUUACUCCGUGGACGUAGCCAAUCUGGGUGAACCACGUACAUCUUAUGUUUGCUUUCCUGUCUCUAUCCAUUUACAUACUUAUCCACACUAAUGACCAGAGCAAUAACUUAAUACUUUCUGUUGUACCAAAGUCCUCACUGAUUUUGUGCAUCAACAAUCCUUAAGUCCUUAACCUUUUGCGUUGGUAAUGGAUGAGUUAACAGGACAUAUUCAAGAUGAUAUUUCUUGGUGUAUGCUUCUCGCAAAUGAUAUAGUGUUGAUAGAUGAAACUCAGGAGGGGUAAAUGCGAAGCUUAACCUUUGGAGAGAAGUGUUGGAAUCUAAAGGUCUUCGCCUAAGCCGAUCAAAGACAGAAUAUAUGGAGUGCAAGUUCAGUGCAAAUGGAGGCCAAAAUGAGUUAGAGGCGAGGAUCGGAGAUCAGGUAAUACCAAAGAGCGACCGUUUUCGCUACCUAGGAUCUAUCUUGCAAAAGAACGGAGAAUUAGAUGAAGAUCUCAACCAUAGAAUACAAGCUGGAUGGAUGAAGUGGAAUAGUGCAUCCGGCAUGUUGUGUGACCAUCGUAGGCCACUGAAGCUUAAGAGAAAAUUUUAUAGAACGGCAAUAAGGCCGGCGAUGCUGUAUGGCACAGAAUGUUGGGCGGUGAAGCAUCAACACGUACACAAAAUGGGUUGGACAUGUGCAAAGAAGGCCUACUGACGCUCCGGUUCGAAGAUGUGACUACGGGAUAGAGGUUCAGGGCCGAAGGGGUAGAGGAAGACCUAGGAAAACUUUGGAAGAGACCCUAAGAAAAGACUUAGAGUACUUGGAUCUAACGGAGGACAUGACACAAAACCGAGCGCAAUGGCAUUCUAGGAUUCAUAUAGCCGACCCCACUUAGUGAGAAAAGGCUUUGUUGUUGUUGUUGUUGUUGUACUUAUACAUUAUAAUCUUUGUCAUGUUACAGCUUCUCAGUUUCAUUAUAAGUUUCUUGUGGUCUCGUAGCAGUUUCCUUUAUUCUUUCCAUACAAGAUCAGAGAAAAAGUAACAAAAAAUUGUGACUAAAACUGCCCUCAAAACACAUACAAUUGAUAGAGUCUGUCCUUUCUCAGGGACAAGUAACAUAAUUGAACUAGCGGAAUGAAUAAAACUUUUCUAAAGAGUGCAGAUGGAUAUUCUCCAACACCAGAAUCAACUCAAUUCGGUGGUAAACAGGUAUUGCACCCUUCUGGAUUCAAAGGUGCAAUAAGCUAGAAGCUACAUCGCACUUUUUUAACUUCCACUAAUAAGAAAUCAAUGUAAUUAAGUUUCUGACCCUUAUUCAGCGUUAUUGUUGCAAAAAGAUUUUCUGGUACUGGUGCCUGAAUCCUUAUUACACAGCUCUAUGGUUAAUUUCAGUUUCAAGCAGCUGCAAGGACUAAUUUGUGCUAAUCUUGAAGGAAUCAAAGCAUGUUCCUGUUCUUUUGAAUCAUAACUUUUUCUGGGUUAUGGAACAAAUAUAAUUUCCACGUUAUUAUUUUUUUCAAAAAAAAAAAUUCUACGUUAUUAUUAUUUACAGAAGGGAAGGGGGGACGCUAACGCAUUUUCCUUCAAAAAUCCUGCCAUGUUCCAAAAAAUUGAUUGUAUACAGGAAGGAUUAAAAUUUCAGGAUUCAAAAGUUUUUACCAAAUGGCGGCUUCAGGCUCUUCCACCCCGGGCUAAGCAGAAAUUGUUACUACCCACUACAGGCAAUAAUACAUCAAACAUUACCAACUUCAUAAGAUGUGAGUCAAGAUGUUAUUCUAAUAAAUAAAACUAAAGCGACAAAAACAAAGAGGAAACUUCAGUGAAACGAUUACCAGCGGAACCCUAUUCACACUCUUCUCUAUUCACAUUUUCGGUAAACAUAUAAUUAUAUCAAAUUAGAUUAUAUAAUUCUUGUUAAGCUACUAAGCUUCAACUUUAGUGAUAAAUACCGCGUCUGAGACUCCUUCUCUUCAAACAAUUGCCUGCCGGAACCAGCGCGAGGACCAAAUUCGAAACCUAUCAACAUUUAAUUUACAAUUAGCUAAAUUCUUAAUGCUUAAAGAUUUAGUUUCCUUUUCUAGUAGCGCUAAUCCACCUAAAAUGUAAAGAAUUUAAGGAAGCAAUAGGCAUGAUAAUCUAUCUGAUCAUAAUUAACUACCGUUUGGUACCUGAAAUAUCAAAGGAAAAUUUUUCAAUUUACUUCUUGUUCUUGUAAUCUCAGUUUUUCAACUCCCAAAGAACUAAAUGCACACACAUGAAUAUAGAAUGCAUACAAAUACAAGGACGGAGCUACCAUGGGCCUAGGGGGGCGGAUGCCCCCAUUGAGAUUUUUCUGACGCUGGGAUGCUGCUCAAAUUGAGCUGGGUUUGCAGCAGCAAAGCCCCCACUGAACUCAUCUGGUUCUGCUCUCCGACCUGGUUCUGCAGAAGCAGAGCUGGGUCUUAUAUUUUUUUUUUUUUAAAUCCAGGCCAAAACGACGUCGUUUUGGUCCUGGUACAAAAAAAAAUAAAUGAAACAGCGUCGUUUCGUAUAUGUUAACAAAAAAGAAAGUAUGUUAAAGGUGGACUGUGGGGACAAGCGGUCCCCCCUUUAAUCUCUAACCCCAUUCCCUGAUUCCUUCCCAUCUCUCUGUUCCUUUUUAUUUCCCUUGCCAAACAGAGAGCAGCGUGGUGCUACUCUCUUUCCCCAAAUUCCCAACAUCUUGAAACUGAACAGAACAGGAGCAAGGUGUUGUUCCCAGCCACGCCAACAGUUAGCCACUCCAGCCAGCUACUCUCUAGCCGACAUAUAUAUAUUUAUGGUAAAAUUCUUAAUUCCUAAAUCUAUAAUCCCUAACCCUAAUUAAUUAUUUAAGACGUUGGGAAAGGCAAAAAUCAAGAAACUACUUUGAAACGUGCUGGAGAAACACGUUGGGGUUCACACUUUGGUACUUUAGUAAGUAUCAUGACUAUGUUUUCAUCCAUACUUGAUGUACUUGAAGUAAUAGCAGAUGAUGGAGUAAGCUCUCAACAAAGAUGUGAAGCAAAUAAUUUAUUGGAUUCCAUGCAAUCAUUUAAUUUUGUGUUUAAUCUACACUUGAUGAAAGAUAUACUAGGAAUAACCAAUGAAUUGUCACAAGCAUUGCAAAGGAAGGAUCAGGAUAUUGUAAAUGCAAUGAAGUUGGUUGGAGUUUGUAAGCAAAGGUUGGAGAUAAUGAGGAAAAGUGGUUGGGAUUCUUUUACUUAGUGAAGUCUCAGAAUUUUGUCUUAAACAUGAUAUUGAUGUGCCUAAUAUGGAUGAUAUGUUUCUUUCUCGAAGGCGAGGGCAACGAAAAGCACAAGCAGUCAUAAAUAUGCAUCAUUAUUGUGUUGGGAUAUUUUAUGUUGUUUUGGAUUGGCAGCUUCAAGAACUAAAUAAUCGUUUCAAUGAGAGACCAACACUGAGUUACUUCUUUGUUUGGCAUGUUUAUAUGUCCAGCCGACUCCUUCUCUGCUUUUGAUAGCCAAAAGCUAUUGCGUCUUGCCCAGUUUUAUCCUAAAGACUUCUCUAUGAAUGAGCUGGUGAUACUUAAGAUUCAACUUGAGACUUACAUUAUGGAUAUGCGGUCUAGCAUUGAGUUUUCAAGUUUAAAAGAGAUUGGAGAUCUUGCAAAAAACAUGGUUCAAUGCAAAAAACACAAGGUGUAUUCGCUGGUUUACUUGUUUGUGACAUUAGCACUAACUCUUCCAGUUGCUACUGCAACCGUUGAAAAAGCAUUUUCGGCCAUGAAAAAUUCUGAAGAAUCGAUUGAGAAAUCGAAUGGGAGAUCAAUGGAUGAAUGAUAACAUGGUUAUUUUUAUAGAGAGAGAGAGAUAUUUAAUGGUAUUGGUAAUGAUGUUGUCAUGCAACGCUUUCAGAACAUGAAAACACGUCGAGGGAUAUUGUAAGGGACUGUUGUAUGAAAAACUUUUUGGAUUAAUAUAUAAGUAUUGUGUUUAGUAAAUUCUUGAGCUUUUUAAUUAUGACUUUGUUGUUUGAGGAUGACCCCAUUCACACACAGUUCUGGCUUCGUCCCUGUACAAAUAUGUAUGUAUGUGUGUGUGUGUGUGUGUGUGUGUGUGUGUGUGUGUGUAUGACAGAUGAGGAGACGGGGACCUGGAGGGUAGGAACUGUGAAGGCCGCCUCUAGCGGUGGCAGGACGAAGAAAAGAGGAGAAGCCUGAGAGAGAGGAACAGGAUGGAAAGAGCAAGCUUCAUGAUGUGAUCUUUGGAUUGACGAUGGUGGCGAUGGAGCUCCAGAAUCGAAUUCAGGAAGCCAUUGUUGGAACUUGGAAGGAGUAAAAGAAGAUGAAAACGUAACGACGAAGAUUGGAGAUGCUGGAUCUCGGGGGAAAAUGGGCUGCAAAUUCCAUUGGAAGCGAAGUAACGGGGACUUCGAGAUAUGGGUUGCAUAUGAAUCUCGGCCCAUUUUUCAAACCGCCCGAACCAAACUAAAUUCUAUAGGUUGAUUUUUUUUUUUUAAUAAACAACAAUAUUUUACAUUAUAGGGCUUCAAUUGGCAUAACAAGAUUUAAAGUUUCUAAUUUUUUUUUCAUUGCUCAUUUUUUGUUUUUCUUGUUCAUUGACUACUGUUUUUGUUUGCAAAACCCAUUUUUCGGUAAAUGAAUAUGACUCAACAACUUAAACUGAGUUAAUGGGGACUGUAAGAUCAAAUCAAAUUGUCAAAUAUGUGUUGACACUAAGUCAUAUAUUUGACCGCAGUGAGUUCAUGUAGUUACGAAUAAAAAUUGUAUCUUGUAAUUGAUAAACCUAAUAAUUCUACAGGUUAUCCACGUCAGCAAUCCUUGUCAACUCAGCAACCACAGUCCGCAAUAUAUGGUUCUCACUCAACCACUCCAACACAGAGUUUGGAUAACACACAAUGUCCUCAACAGAUUGAGAAGGAUCAUAGUCCUCCUUAAACAUGACUCUAUCAUCAUAGUGUACCUUAGCUUUCUGUUAUGUAUUUUUGUAAUUUGAAUUCGAUUGUAAUUCUGAUACCAGAUUCAUUGUAAUCUUGUAAAGCCUAUAUAAUGAAGUACAUGACUCACUCAUAAUUAAUUGAGUUGAGCUUAUGCAAUUGAUUAUUUCAACCCUAGCUUGAAUUCUUUCAUGGUAUCUCAGAGCUAAAGUCUCACCACAAAACAAAUUUUUUUUUUUUCAUGGCGUCCUCUUCUUCUCCCUUACCUAAUGCCUCCAAUUUUCUCACCCUUAAACUUGAUCGUACCAACUACCCUCUCUGGCAAGUUCAGAUGCUUCCUCUUCUCCGCAGUCGCAAUCUUGUCUCUUUUGUCGAUGGCACCAGUCAAUGCCCCCCAGCAUUUCUGCAAGAUGCAGAUGGCAACAUCACUGACAAAGUCAAUCCUGACUUCGAAACCUGGAUUCAACAGGAUGCUACAUUUCUGUCCUGGAUUAAUUCUUUUGUUCACCCCACUGUCCUUGCUGCUUUAAUUGGGAAAACCAGUUCUCACUCUGCUUAGACAACCUUCCGUGACCGCUAUGCCUCUCAGUCAACCGGCCGUCUUCUUCAGCUUCACAGUGAGUUGAUGAAUACUCACAGAGGUGAUUCCUCCAUUUCUGAAUUUUUAGAUAAAAUCAAUUGUCUAGCAGAGACUCUCUCUCUCUGGUGCUCCUGUUUCAGACUCCGACAUUGUCGCCAUCAUCCUUAACAAUGUUGGUCCUGUUUAUGAGAGCAUGGUUGCCUCCGCUCAAGCUCGUGACGAGGCCAUCACCUACAGUGCUUUGGAAGCACUCCUCAUUGGCGCUGAAAGAAGACAGAAAUUGCGUUUUGCUUUUACUACUGACACCGACCCAACUGCCUUUGCUGCAGUUCACAAUGGUGGUCGUUCAUCUCUCCCAGUUUUUGCGGUCGUGGCUCAUCUUCUACAUUCCGAGGUCGCAACAGUCCCACUGGUGGUCGUUGGUCCUCUUCUCGGCCAUGCAACUCCCCAGGUUCUCAUCAUGGAUCUCACCAACAUUCUCACUCUCGCCAACCUGAUGGUCUUCUUGGUCAAUCUCCAAGUUCUUUUCCUACUGGUCGGAUCCAAUGCCAAAUUUGUAACAUACAUGGUCAUUCGGCAAUCGGCUAUUUCAACCGUCUCAACCUGUCUUAUGAAGGGCGUGUUCCAGCGCCAAAACUUCAAGCCUAUACUGCUGGUGUUCCCCCUGCCUCUGCUAGUGCUCCAGCUCUCCAGAAUUGGCUUUUCGACUCUGGUGCCAAUGCCCACAUCACCAAUAAUCCAGCUCAGGUGUUUAAUCCUUGUCCUUACCAUGGUACUGACCAAGUCAAUGGUGUAGUAGGUGGAACAGGUUUGCACAUCUCUCAUAUUGGAAACUCUUGCAUUCGCACACCCAAAGCCAUUUUUAAAUUACCCAACACACUAUUUUGCCCUACUGCAUCCACCAAUGUCAUAUCCAUUCAUAAAUGUACCACUGACAACAACUGUUCCCUAACCUUAUAUCCAAAUUCCUAUGGUGUUCAGGAUCUUCACAUGGGGAAGACACUUUUCCAAGGCCCGAGUAGAGAUGAUUUCUACCCUUUUUCCAGUAUUUCAUCAUGCAAUAAAGGAGUCUCUACAUUCAUAGGUGCUAGGGUGUCCAAUCAUGUUUGGCACUCUAGAUUAGGUCAUCCAUCAACUCAUGUUUUGAAUUCUUUAAUUUUCAAGAAUAAGUUACCCGUGAAUGGUGUUGUAACUAGUGACUUUUGUCACUCCUGUCCACUCGGCAAGAGUCACAAGUUACCCUUUACUUUGUCUAGUUCUAGGUCAACUUUUCCUUUACAAUUAAUUCAUUCGGGUGUAUGGACUUCUCCCUAUGUUUCAAUCAAUGGAUUUAAGUAUUAUGUAGUAUUUAUUGAUGACUUUUCUAGAUACUCCUGGUUAUAUCCAUUAAAACUAAAAUCAGAUGUUUUUUCUACCUUUGUAAAUUUUAAAAAAUUAGUUGAAAACAUGUUUAGCACCACAAUCAAAUCCUUUCAAACCGAUGGUGGCAGUGAAUAUAUUAAUAAUAAUUUCAAAACUUUUUUUACUUAUCAUGGUAUAUAUCAUCGUUUCACAUGUCCUCAUCAUCCCAAACAAAAUGGUAUUUCAGAAUGUAAACAUCGUCAUAUUGUUGAAACCGAUCUUACUCUUCUUGCUCACGCAUCUUUACCCACUUCCUUUUGGGAUGAUGCUUUUCAUACUGCAACUUAUUUAAUCAAUCAGUUACCCACUAAGGUCUUGAAUGAUGAGUCCCCAUUUCAAAAACUCUUUCUCAAAACUCCUCAUUAUGAUAUUCUUAAAAUAUUUGGCUGUGCAUGUUUCCCAUAUCUUAAGCCAUACAACUCCAAUAAAUUACAGUUCCGUUCUACCCGUUGUGUCUUUCUUGGUUACUCAUUAAAUCAACAAGGUUAGAGCAACUUCACCCUUGGAGCCCUUCCCCCUGGCAAUCCACUAUUGAAUCCACCAUAUUGAACAGUAACUGCCUUUAAUGAAUAGUAACUACCUUUAAUGAACAGUAAUUAUCUUUUGCAUCUCCACACUUGGAACUCUCCCCCUGACAAUAAGUAAUAAAAUAUUAGUUUUUUUUGUUUGUUUAAAUAAUAUAAAAUAAAAAAACAUGGAAAUGGGGCUGCAGGCCCUCGGGCUGACACAAAAAAAAUAAAAAAAAUGCUUAGCCCUCGGGCUGCAGGCCUGUCAAUUCCCCACCCCCCUUGUGCUCGGGCUCUCUAAGGCUGGAGGGUUGUCCACCUGGCCUCGGGCCCUUUCCUGGUGCCUGUCCCCCGAGCAAUCCACAAGGAUGGACUUGCUCUUAUAAGUGUCUAGAUAUGUCUACCGGUCCCGUCUUCUUGUCACGUCAUGUUGUCUUUGAUGAAACUACUUUUCCCUAUAAAGAAACCACCUCUACUCCGUUUUCUUCUUCUCCCUCCUUACCUAACAUCAUAAUUAAUAUUGACCCCCCCCAUGCCCACUUUUCAACCCAUGUCGCGUCUUCUUGUCACGUCAUGUUGUGAAACUAUUUUUUCCUAUAAAGAAACCACCUCUACUCCGUUUUCUUCUUCUCCCUCCUCACCUAACAUCAUAAUUAUUAUUGACCCCCACCAUGCCCACUUUUCAACCCAUUUCCCCGACAUCACCUACACCUAUCUCUUCCAUCCCUAAUGCUACCCCAUGUCCUACGCCUACACCACUUCCAUCACCUAUACCCAUUUCUGCCACCCCUAUUUCACCUCCAUCACAUCUUCCUGCCAAAACACUUCCCACUCCACCCGUCCCUUCUGCCAACCCCACGCCGUCCUCCUUCAAUCCUCCAGCUAAUAAUUCACCCUUAGAUCCCCUAGUAUCUCUCCACCCUGCGACUGCAAGUACAUCCACUACCAAAAGAAGAUUUAAAGUUUCAAAUUCUUUUUAUAAAUCUAAAACAUUGAUCUUCUAUCUUUUUACUUGUUCACUCAGUUACUGUCUGCAAUACCCGAUUACAACAACUGUUUUCUUCGAUGGCAUUGACUUUGAGCACCAAUAGAGCCUCGGCAUCUUUUCUUUUCAAUGAAUCAGCUCCUCGAUGGAAGUAUGAUGUGUUUUUGAGUUUCAGGGGUGUAGACACCCGCAAGGGUUUUGUAUCCCAUUUACACCAUGAAUUGUCCAAGUGCCAAGGAAUUACGACUUUCAUGGACGAUCGAGAGCUUCAAGGAGGAGCAAGUAUUCAUGUUGAGCUACCAAGUGCGAUCAAAGAAUCGCAUAUUGCAAUUGUUGUUCUCUCACCAAACUAUGCUUCUUCCAAAUGGUGCUUGGAUGAACUCACAACCAUUCUUCAAUGCAUGGAAGCCAGGAACUCAGUUCUCUGCCGGUCUUUUAUCAGACAGAUCCAUCUGACGUCGGAAAUCAACGGGGAUGUUUUGCCGAAGCCUUCGCGGAGCAUGAAGAAAAGUUGAUCAGUAUCGAAGGCAAAAAGAAGGUGCUCCAAUGGAAAGCUGAUCUAAAGCGAGUGUCCAAAAUUUGUGGUUGGACUUCGAAGGAAUCUAAGUAAGCAUGAACAACUUUAAUUUCCCAUGUCUUAGUAGAGUCAAAAUUGAAUGCUUCGUUUAUGUUUUUUCAAUGGUUAUUUUAUACCAUGUAGGUGUGAAAGUGAGCUUAUACAAAAAAUCGUUAAAAGUGUGUGGAGGAAAGUGCAAGCUACACUCCCGUUGUUAGAUUCCUCACAAAAAUUAGUUGGGGUUAAUUUUGGGCUUGGGCAACUAAGUUCUCUAUUAGCUCAUGAUGUCAAUGAUGUACGCUUUAUAGGGAUAACGGGGAUGGGUGGCAUAGGUAAGACAACCCUUGCUAAGCUUGUUUAUGAUAGAAUCUUUCAUCAUUUUGAAGUUCACUGCUUUCUCGGCAACCUUAGAGAGGUUUCUAAUGUUGAUCUUCAAAAAAGACUUCUUUUCCCGGUGUUGAGGGAAAAGAUUGAAGAAAUUUGGGAUGAAGAGCGCGAAAUCAUUUUCACUAAGAAGUGCUUGCGCAACAAAAAAGUUCUUCUUGUACUUGAUGAUGUGGAUCACAUAAACCAGCUACAAGUACUAGCUGGAAACGAAGAUUGGUUUGGCAUGGGAAGUAGAAUUAUCAUUACAACUAGAAAUGAACGUCUGCUAGUCCAGCAUGACAUAACAUUAUGUCAUAAUGUCAAAGUGUUAGAUAAAGGCGCAGCUCUUGCACUGUUUAGCCUUCAUGCCUUUAAGAAAAAUCUGCCCGAGGAUGGGUUUUGGGAACUGUCAACGUAUUUCAUUAAUUAUGCUGGAGGCCUUCCAUUAGCUCUUGAAACUUUGGGGUCAGCAUUGUUUAAGAGAAGGCUAGACACUUGGAAUAGUGUGUGGGAUAAUCUGUCAAAAACUCCUAAUCCAGCAAUUUUUGAUAAACUUAAAAUAAGUUAUGAUGGACUAGAAGAGUGGGAGAAGAGAAUUUUUCUCGACGUUGCAUGUUUCCACAAAGGGAAGUACACGAAUGAAGUAAUUAAAAUGCUAGAUAAUUCUCUUGGAAUCUCUAGUAGUAGUAUGAUAGAUGUACUAAUUGAGAGAUCUCUCAUCUAUCAAGAUCAUGAAAACUGCAUACGGAUGCAUGAUUUGAUUCAAGAAAUGGCAUGGACAGUUAUUGUUCAAGAGUCUAAAGAGCCUGGUCAACGUAGUAGGUUGUGGCUUUACAAUGACAUUGAUCAUAUAUUCACGACGAAUACGGUAAAAAGUUAAACUAAGUUUGGAAGAAGAUAUGAUUUCUUUUGACACUAUAUUAUUAUAUGAAAUUAAUUCGUCAUUUUUUCCUUUAACUGUUAGGGAACAGGAGCAAUUGAAGCCAUAUCCUUACGCCUGCUCAAAGUAGAAGAGGUACGCCAGUGGAAUUGCGAAGCCUUCUCAAAGAUGGAUGGACUGAGGUUUUUGGAAUUCGAUAAUUUGAUAUUUUCUUCAGGCCCCAAAUUUCUUCCAUGUUCCUUGAGAAUUAUAAAUUGGAGUUGGUAUCCUUCUAAUUUUCUUCCAACCAGCUUUCGCCCGCACUUGCUUGCUAAACUUGAGAUGCGUAAUAGCAAUCUUGUUCGUCUAUGGGAGGGAAAAUGGUAAGAGUAGUUAUGAACAAAAGAUAAUAUUGGUUACUCACUAGUUAAUACUCACUUUUUGAUUUUGUCAAAUGAUAUUUUAACACAUAUUAUUUUAAAAAAUAAUAGACGUGUUAUUUAAUUUUCUGGAGUUUUAAAAUUAAGGAACGCUUGAUAUUUUUUUAUUGUACAAUUCCGAAGGUUCCAAAUUUCUUCCAUAUUCAUUGAGAAUAAAUGUUAUUUAAUUUACAAAAUAAUCAUAUAUUUAUUUAUUAUUUUGAAUAAACUUUAAGGUUGUGGAAGCUAAGUAUAUGAUCUGAACCUUGUCGGUGAUGUUGUGCAGGACUUACCCAACUUAAAACAUAUUGAUAUUAGCAACUCCUAUAAAUUGAAGAGUAUCUCAGAUUUCAGUGGUAUUCCAAAUCUUGAGAGGUUGAUCCUUUGGGAUUGUAAAAAUUUAGUUGAGAUACACCCGUCUAUUGCAAUCCUCAAAAGACUUAAACAUUUGCUUCUUAAUGGCUGUGAAAGCAUUAAUAGCCUCCCAAGUGAGGUUGAAAUGGAUUCUCUUGAGACUUUCGAUCUUGAUGGCUGCUCAAAUGUGAAAAAGAUUCCAGAAUUUGGGGAGCAGAUGAAGAAUGUAUGGCGGAUUCACUUAGAUGGGACUGCGAUCGAGAAAAUACCUUCAUCAAUUGGACAUCUGGUUGGCCUCAAGGAAUUGCAAAAAUCUCUUGAACCUUCCAAGGGCGAUUUGUAAUUUGAAGUCUCUUGGAUAUCUCAGUGCGAGUGGAUGCUCAAAGAUUGACCAACUCCCAGGAGACAUGGAUCACUUAGAGGCGCUUUGCUGGGGACCCACUAUGACAGAGCCGCUUGUGAGCAUGAAAAAUCUCAAACGUCUAGUAUUUAAGACAAAUUCUAACAUAGCCGCUUGUGGAUCAGAUGGUAAAGCAAGGGAUGGGUGGGGCCUUCGCUGCUUAUUUGGACUUGAAAAGAGUCGCCCUGAUCCUUCUCCUUGUUGGCGUUUGGUGUUGUCUUCUCUAAAUCGUUUAUGCUCUUUGACAGAGUUAUCUCUAGAGAAUUGUAAUCUCCAGGAGGGGGAUAUCCCCGAUGAUAUUGGCUGCUUGUCCUUACUGGGAGUAUUGUAUCUUAGUAGAAAUAAUUUCGUCAGUCUACCUGAAAGCUUUAGACGCCUUUCUAAACUUUUCAGUCUUGAUCUAGAGGGGUGUAUAAGCCUUCAAAAAUUGCCUCCUCUUCCAUCAAACAGAGGACUAAGAGUAAAUCUGGACAAUUGCACUUCCUUACAAAGGUUGUCAGGUCCAUCCAGUUUUUAUGGUGAUUAUGUCACUUGCCGGAAUUGCAUUGCAUUGGUUCAAGAUGACGACUUGAUUAAUAGGAUUCUAAUAUUUGUCAUUGAGGUACUCUCUCUCUCUCUCUCUCUCUCUCUCUCUCUCUCUAUUAAUAGGAUUCUAAUAUUUGUCAUUCAGGUACUCUCUCUCUCUAAAUAAUUGAUCUUUCUUCUGCUACAGGGAUUGAAAGUUGUAAUCCCUGGAAGUGAAAUUCCAGAGUGGUUCAGUAAUCAAAGUGUGGGACAUUCAAUAAAUGUGGAGCUUCCUCCACCAUCAUGUACCAACUGGCUUGGGAUUGCCUUAUGUGUUGUUUUUCAAGACCCUAAGCAAAACUUGGCAAAUCCAGCUGCCCUUCGUCAUUAUGAUAGAUUCGAAAUUUGGUAUUCAGAUGCACAUUUUAGCCAUAGAGUUUUGAUCAACCGCAUAGGGUCUGCUGUGUCAGAACACCUUUGGGUAUUUUAUCUGCGUCGUUAUAGAAAUCAACGUCGUGAAGAUUGUCUUCAGGAACAGUGUUUAUUCGAAACUUUUUUUUUUGAUAUCGAGGGACAACUAAAGGCAGACUUGAAUAUGGUGAAGAAGUGUGGGGCUCGUUUGGUGUACGAGCAAGAUUUGAAAGAACUCAACCAAAAACUACUGAAACGAACACGCAAAUAUCGUGACAAGGCAACUCCAAGUGGACCUGGAAGUGUUAGCUUCAACGACACAGAAAAAAUUUGCAAAAGGCGUUGUAACUAGUCACCAUGUCACAAAAAAUGCAAGUAACCAUCGAUUUAUCACAUUAGCUUAAUUGUCAUCAAAAUUAUUUUUUGUUUCGACAUCUUAGUCAAUGUAAUCAAUCUCUCGAGCUAUAUAUUAAGGUGGCUAUAUUUACUGAAAGGCAGAGUGGAUAAGAAUGUUGAUGUAUAAACACUUUUGCAGAUUACUUGGGCGUUAAGAAGAUUGAUUAACAAUCUGAUCAUCUUGCCCAAUGCAGCAAGUGGGUACCUUGGAAACUCACUACGCCAUGGGGGCUGCUCUGUCAGUCCUGAUCUUAAGGUUCAUUUUCUGAAGACGCCGGGUUGAAUUCAAACUUCUGUACUCUGGCAGAAAUUGAUUUGUUUCUGUCUGAUUUUGUAACUAAUGCAAACUUGUAGUCCAGAAACAGAAACGUUGCUAAGGAAACAACACUUUUUGCUCAACAACUUUGGUUUGAUUAAAACUUGGCUUUGGUGAUGCAAAAACUAAGCAUUGAUAGUAUUUUUCCUGAGUGGAAAACUGGAUUGGAUGCUGAGGCAAUGGAAGACAAAUGAUCACACCAAAUCUGUUAUCUUACAAGAUUCUAAUGUAUGUCCCUAAAACACGAACAUAACCAAGGCAACUCAGCGGCAGUGUAUGCAAGCUGCCUAUAUUCAGCUUCAGUGCAAGACCUGGAAACUGUUUUCUGUUUCUUCGAACUCCACGAUAUUAAGUUUUUACCCAAGUAUAUACAGAAGCCUCCAGUCAAUUGUACACCUCGAGGUCUAUAAACAAGACCCUGAUCAUAGGUAGCCUUCAAAUAACGUAGGAUCCUCUUUAACUGCCCUCCAAUGAGUGUUGUUGGAUGAAUGCAUGAACUGACACACUUGGUUCACAACAUAAGAAGGAUCAGGUCUCGUAAUUGUCAUAUAGUGUAGGGCGCCUACAACACUUCGGUAUAAUUCAGGGUUACUAUAUGAUUCACCCCCAAAAGCACUCAGUUUAUGUCCAGAAGAAACUGGAGUCGAGAUUGGCUUGGCAUUGAUAAAUUUAGUACAUUCCAGCAAGUCCAGGGCAUACCUGGACUCUGUGAGAUGCAUUUGAUCACCCGAGCAGGUUACUUCAACACCUAGGCAGUAGUUGAGACGACCCAAGUCCUUCAUGGAAAAUAAGGUGCCCAAUCUCUGUAUCAACUGAGCCAUUUGAUAAGUACUGUUUCCUGUGAGCGAUUUAUUAUCCACAUAGAUUAGUAAGAUGAGGUUGACUAUGGAGACGAUGGAGCCGGAUUCAGGAAGCCAUUGUUGGAACUCGGAAGGAGUUAAAGAUAACGAAAACGUAACGACGAAGAUCGGAGAUGCUGGAUCGACGGAAAAUGGACUGCAAAUUCCAAUGGGAACAAAGAAACGGGACUUCGAGGUAUGGGUUGCAAAUGGAUCUCGGCCCAUUUGUUAAACAACUUUCAUUUGGGCCUAAAUAAGCCUACAAACCUAACCGGAUGAACCAUUCAAACCGCCCGAACCAAACUAAAUUAAAUAGGGUUUGAACUAAAUUGAAGAGAAAUGUCACUAACUAUAUUAUUAGUGACAAAAUUGAUUUUGGAAGUAGUUGUCUAUUUCAGAGUGGAUUUACCAGAUGCCGAAUGUAAUUAUGUAAAUUUUCUCCUGUAUUUACUAUUCAGCAAGGAAUUGAAAAAAUAAUCUUUCCUUGAAAUUUUCUCCUGUAUUUACUAACCAACAUUUUCUUCCAUAUUCUAACGUUUAUAAAAAAAAAACAAAAACAUAUUCUUCCACAUCUAUUGAAUUUUAUAGUGAGAUAUUCUGCUUGAAUUUUAUCACCCUAAACCCUAAGUAAAGCCCCUUUAGGUAAUCAUAUUAAUGUUUUGCCUUGUGCAGGUGGGGAUUGGUAAAGGAUGAGUCUGUGUACCAAAGGAUGACCCAGCAUAUACUCAAGAGUAGCUUAGGUAUUUCUCGAGAUGCUCAGCUUAGAGCUUUGAAGCUUCUAAACGUCGUCCUUGAAACCGGAGGCAGGGAAAAUCUUUGAGUUCGGAUACCACACUUCGAAGAAACGCUGGGAAAAUUUGACAAACAUCCUGUCUCUGUCAAACCACUUUACUCUUCAAAAGUUUGAACCCAAAUACUGCAACUUUUUCAAGAAUAUUAGAGACCCUUCACCAGGUAACGUACCAUAACUCAUCCUGUGCUUUUCGAAACAUGCUAGAGUACGUGUGUGUAGGUUACUUAAUUUAAGAAUUCCUGUAUAAACAUAGGACGUUGCACCUUUCAAAGUUCAUGAGAUUUUAACGUUCAUGAUGACAUAUUCUGUUGUAAACACCCUACAGAAGUGCGCAAGUGUCUGCGUGUAAUGAUUUAUCAAUGUGGUGAAAGAAAAAGUGAAAAUUAUGUUUUGACGAUCAAAUGAAUUUGCAGCCUAUGCAUGGGUGAAGUGCGAGAGGGAAGAGGAUAAAAAUUUGCAGCCUAUACAUGAUCGUCAACCAGGAUUCGGAAAGAUUCAUGUGUCAUCGACAUGAUUGUGGUGAAAUGGCCUCAGCAUCCGAGUCAAGCUCCCACCAACCAUCUGCCAGUAUCAUCCUUCACAAAUUCAUUCACACGUGCACACACACACACACACACCAACAAAAACCUUCAUUUCCUCAUCCCCACUCUCAGCAUCAACCUCACCAUUCCAGUUAUGCAAACUUUGUUCCUCCUCUGGCUUGUAUGUCCAGUCCAAUAUCUUCAAUACGUGAUGGUCUUUCCAUUUCCCCACAACCAGAAAACAGCCUCCUUCUUAGCCUUUCUACUCAAUAUUUCAUUCCAAGAAAAGCUAGAAUCCUCCACAACCACCAUCUUCAGACAUACAUCUCAACUUCGCCUCCAUCACAACAUCUACAACACCUUAAUUAUCCGACAUAAGCAUCACACACUCAACUCUCCUGUGAUGUCUGAAUGCAACAUCCGUCCCCUGUGUUGUAUCCAACGCAUUCCGUACCCAAAACCCCUGCCGCUUCACCUUGUCUGCUAAACCACGCCAAACCUUGGGUGUCAAGACAUCCCUUGAAGCAUUCUUUCACUUGUCCAUCUUCAUAGAAUACUUACCCACCAAUUUCACCGUCGAACUCCCUCUAGCAGUCUCAAUGUGAUUCAACCUUUUCACAUGUUCCCCAUCAUGAAUCUGCCUAAAAUCAUUCACAAGCUUUUCAUUAGUAUAAAAUCUCCUCCCACAAACCCGUUGGACUCACCAGCCUUAAUCACAACCCUGUAGCUCUCUUUCCUUUCCCUAACAACUUGUGGAGCAUAAUUCAAUGCAUCCGGUCUACAUACACAAGCAUAUGCUGAACAAGCCCGAAAGACGAAGCCACGGUAUUGAACGCUUGACGGUGGCUUCAUACAGGGAGACUGAGGGCUGGUUUGGUAUUGCUGUGCUUUGAAAAAAAACUGCUGUGAGAAUAAGCGGCUGUGCUGUAAGAAUAAGCGGCUGUGAAAUAAAACCAGUAGAGUGUUUGGUAAACUUUUUUGUGAAAGUGCUUUUGGAAAAAAAAUCAGGAUGAUAGUGUGUCUUUUCAUUAAAGGAGCACUGUAACUCCGUGUGCUUUGAAAAAACUGGCUUUUUUUCAAAGCAGCAAAUAGCAGCUUCAGCUUUUCCUUUGAUUUUCAGCUUAUUCUCACAGCAGCUUCCAAAAUAAGCCCUUUUUUUUCAGUUUACCAAACACAAAAAUGACCCUCAGCGUUUUUUCACAGUGGCUUUUUUUAAAAUCACCUCAAUCCCAAACGGGGCCUGACUUGGGUGGGGUUUGGCAUCCCAAUCCCAGAAAAUUGUAACACUAGGGUGCCAAACACGAUGAUAAGUUCGAAGAAUUGAAACCUGGUUUCAAUUGAAAAUGGCAAAUAUCUAAUCAAUUGCGUAAAAGGGUUUAAGGUUUCUGACCUGUUGGAAUGAAGUGUACAGAAAUGUGGCAAAAGUUGAGAGGUAUAAGCAUUGCCAGAGGUUAAGAUGUAUCUUUGAUUUCUCAAUGGACUCGAGUUGCCUUUGAAGAUCCAGCCAGAGUUAUAGCGGGUGACCAGUGACCACAAUGGCACUUUCCUGGGUGGUGUUUCCCUGCACUCUCACCUAUCUUCCCCCAAUGCGGCGGAAGCACUGGCAGUGCUAAUGGGCCGGAAAUUUGCUCAAGCAAAGAGCUUCAACUGGACAAUAAAAUACAAAUUGAAAGGAAAGAUGCAAAGUCCACAAAAUUUCAAAAUAUACAUACAUGCACUACAAUAGAAAAUGGAAAAUACGUCCAAACAAUAGUCUUCAACUGGACCUUGAUGUUGUUUAUGUGCUGUGCAUAACGAAAGGUAUUUCAGAGCUGCCGUUUAAAUCUGUAAAAUUGCCGCAUUUUGUUUUGCAAUAUACACUUUUUUUUCCUUUUUUGCUGUUGCAUUGUUCGUUAUCAUCCCCAAAACUUUCUUCCUAAGGAAGAAGGCUUAAUUUUGACUCUCAGAGAGAGAAAAAAAUCUGUAUAAAUGGGAAAGUCGAUCCUUACGCCACAACUGGUCUUUUCGGUCCUACUAACUGCCUUUGUUUUAAUCGGCUGAAUGUUCUCCUCCUGUAUAAAAACAAAAGGAACCUACAAUAACAAUCAAAAGCACGUACACUUCGAAAGGGGUUCCCCAAAUGAUGCUCAUACUUCCCCAGCCGCAAUCACAGGCACUUUGAAGUUGAAUUUCUCUGGGAUUGACUUCAGGAUCAAGAACAAAAUCCCCAUUUGUCGUGCCUUCUUCUUCCAACCAGAUACAUGUCGUCUUUGAUUUAUACCCAGGCACAGUAGCUGUGACUGCACGUAACCAAGUAAAUCCAACAGAAAACUCAGGCAUCAAAAUUAUAACUAUACGCAUAAAUCCAUAACGUAUUUGUUUCCAAAAGCCUUCAACAAAUUUAUUGUCAAGGCCUCAAGAUACAGAUUGUAUACUCAUGUGUUGUCGAAAAGCAAAUACAGUUAUUAGGGCUGCAAUUCCUUUUUAUCCCUUCCCUUCUUUAUCAUAAAUCAAGUUCAAUUACCAAAAAAUCCAGUAGCGGCAAUUACACCAGGAAUAAGAACAGAAAAAGAGGACCUUCACACCACAUCUUCUCAUUUCAUGCCCUCAAUAAUGAUGGGGCGCAAAAAAUCCACUAACACUCUAUAUCUAGGCCAAGUUUAUUGGAAGGAGAAAUAUGUUCAACGCCAUGGUAGAUUUUGUUUCACCAAGCAACUAACGAUUACCAUAUGACAUACAUGAAAAAGUGUAACUAUGGAAAUGUGGUCUAUAAUAUGAUACCAGUAGUUUUACUUCUUAAAUUGCAUAACAUUUCCUCUUUUUCAUUUUUAAAGCAUCCAGCUCGGGAUGAACAAGGGAUGUAAUCUGUAAAUACCCUUAUAUCUUCCGGCGGGGGCAAGCAAGCUAUGGUAAUCCACAAUUGCUCUGCUAGCUUGAACCUGCCAGUCAAAAAGAUGAGCCAUUGGUUUACAUGUAGUCCUCUUCAGCUUAUCAAAUAAUGUAAAACAGCUAACUGACCAAAAAGGUAUAACAAAUUAUGAAAUAAACGGAAAGGUGUAGCAAGAAUAAGUGUCACUCCAAUGUUACCCAGUUUUCUUUUGUUUGGAAAUGUACUUAUCAAACAGACCGUUUUGUCAUUUAUUUCUAUCAUUUACUCACUAAUCAUACGGCUGGAAAAUAUCCCAACAAUUCUCUAGGCUACUCAACAGGGUUUUGACCAACUAUUCAAUUUGAUUCUAAGACUUCAGUCCAAUCUCACAUCUCAAACUGAAGCCAUAUUAUACAAUCCUAAUAGGAAAAACGACCUAUCCCUCAAUUUGAAGAAUAAAAUGAAAGUUCGUCAACAUACCUUGGAAUUUAUUCCUUCGAUUGCAAUAAAGCCAGGUAACGGCCUACCACCAUCUGAUGAAAGGAUCCUUCCAUAUACUCCUAGCUAAAGGGUAUAAGUUGAGUGUAGUUAAACGAUAUCACACCCAUCUACAAUUAAACGUUUGAAAUAUCUGAAAUGGUGUCAUAGGAGAAUUUUUGCUCUAAAUGUCAAAUGUUUCACACAGAGGAAGUUAUUUCGAGAAUACUUAAAAUGCUAUGCACUUAUGAUUACUCUUCUCAUGAUCAAAACAACAUGUUGUUUUGAUCAUGAGACAACACGUCAAACAGCUAAAUUAUACCUAUAAUAAGUUGUAAUGUUUCAAGCCAUCAUACCAGAAAGCUCCAUUUGUAAUGCCUCCCUCAAAUUCCUUGCUCAAUGACACAUUGUAGUGAGAGCGACUGUAUACACUUGCUAAGAACCAGAAUGUCUCGUCAUCCGGACAUGCAAGAUAAUCUUUCCCGUAAUUUAAUUUCGAUCAAAAGACGAGUAUGUGCAAAAUAAAAAUUUAUAAGCAUUAGCAUAUAAAUUCUGGGAUAGUGUUACUUUGACCUUACACAUAUUGUUAGGCACCAUUCGAAAAUCCAUAAUCAUAUUAGAAGUAAUCGGCAAUGUUCAUAACAUUACGGUAACAGUUUAAGACCUAAUACUGACAUCAUCAUGCUUGUUUCACACUAUAAAAGAAACAUUUAAAAACCUGAACACAUUGAGCAUCAUAGGUAAAAUUGAAUAAUGAUCAAAACGUACACUCACACUGAGGCCAACGUACAGCCGGAAGAAGUCUAUUGGAAAUGAAUGAAGACAAUUAUCAAUAAGCAUGGUUCAGCGCAGAACUUUUAUGGAUGUAAAUUGAUUACCUUUUAUCCUAUGUGCCAUCCCAUGGAUAAUUUGCAACAAGGGAAACCUGUGAACCACAAAAGAAUUGGUAAUGACUAAUUUCUCCACAUCUGAAUCAAGGAAUCCAGUAGCUAAGAUAGAGAACCACCUGUUAGAAUCAAAAAAAAAAAAUUAAAAAAAAAAUCCUUUGAUUUCUCAGGAACCAAACGGUAGUUAAUUAUGAUCACAGAUAGAUUUUCAACUUCCAAAAACAACCAAGAAACUAAAUGAACACAGAUGCAAAUGAACACAUAAUAUAAAAUGCAUACAAAUAUCUAUAUAUAUAUAUAUAUAUAUAGCACAGACGAGGAGAUGGGGACCUGGAGGGUAGGAAGUAUGAAGGCCGCCUCUGGCAGUAGCAGGACGAAGAAAAGAGGAGAAGUUGGGAGAGAGGAAGAGGAUGGAAAGAGCAAGCUCCAUUCUGUGAUCUUUGAGGUUGACUAUGAAGACGAUGGAGUUGGAUUCAGGAAGCCAUUGUUGGAACUUGGAAGGAGUUAAAGAAGAUGAAAACGUAACGACGAAGAUCGGAGAUCCUGGAUCGGAGAUCCUGGAUCGCCCGAAAAUGGGCUGUAAAUUCCAAUGGGAACAAAGAAACGGGGACUUCGAUGUAUGGGUUGCAAAUGGAUCUCGGCCCAUUUAGUAAACAACUGUUGUUUGGGCCUAAAUAAGCCAUCAAACCUAACCGGAUGAACCGUUGAAGCCGCCCGAAAAAAAACUAAUUAAAACCUGGGACGUUUUGAUAUAAGCAUCUAAGUUUUCAAUUCUAUAGACCACACAUGUGUUGGUUUUAGAGAUUUAAUUAAACAUUUUUACUACAAAUGUGGGAGUCUCAUCUAUCAUACCUAUCCCUUAUUUGUACCAAAAUUAUAGAUCUUACCACGGCCUUAAGUCUUCACGUCAGGAAAAAAAAAAGGCAGAGAUAUUGAAACAAAUUUUUUCCUACAAUCUAGCUCCUUUAAUUCCCUUUAAAGAUAAUUAUACAAAAAAAUGAUUAUAUACAAUUUAUUAAGGAAUAAAAUACCCUGCCGUUUGAUUUUUUUUUCCUCUCAAUGAAGAAAUAAAAUAACAUUUAAUAUAUUUGUAGUAAUCCAUAUAUAAAUUUUUGUAGUAAUUCAUAUAAGAAAAUAACAUCGAGAAUAAUAUAAAUGUACCAAUAAAAAAAUAUAUAUGAAUGAAAACAAACCUACUAAAACCAGAAAUAAACGUACUAGUAAACAAUGUUGAAGACCAAAAGUAAAAUGUACCAAUCAACGAUAUAUAUAAUAUUAAUCGUACCCAUAUGAUACUAAAUGGGACAAUGCAUAAUGUAUACAAAAACAAUCGUAACAAAAUCGUGAAAAAAACCUAUCAAUCAACGAGAACAAAACUAAACGUAGCCGGAAGCUAAAACUAAACGUACUGAAAGCUAAAACAAAACGUACCAAUCUAUGUACACCCAAAAAUUAAAAAUAAAUGUACCAAUCAAUACAAAACCAAUAUAUGAUAACCAACAAUAAGCGUACCAUUAUCACUAAUCAACAAUAUGUACAAAUUCAAAUGUAUACAAAAUAAUUAUCUAACAAAAAGUAUACUAAACAAUAAAGAAACAAAAAAAUCUAAGCAUCCAUCAUUUCAAUUAUUUUUUCAAUUUUUAGAUAAAAAAAAUGUUUUUAACGGAAAAAAAAAAUUAAAAGAGAUAAUUGGAUAAAUAUGUUGAGCAAAAAAACCAAAAUUAUCUCCUAAAAAAGAGUCCACAACUCCUAAAAUACAUGAAUAAAAAAAUGGCCGGAUAAAAAAAAUUCUCUCAACUAAUUAAAAGAACAAAUUUAGAAAUCAAUAUGUAAAAUUUUAAUUUAAGAAUUACAAUUAUUAUUUUUAAUUUAAAAAAAAAAACUAAUGUGACCUAAUGUACCAAAGUGCCUUGAUCAAAAUUUUAAAAGGCAUAAAUGUUUAAUAAAAAAAUUCAAAUUUUGAGCAUUUAAAUCUAAUUAACUCUUUUUUCAUAGACAACAAUACUUUACAUCAUAGGGUUUGAAUUAAAUUGAAGAGAAAUGUCACUAACUAUAUUAGUAGUGACAAAAUUGAUUUUGGAAGUAGUUGUCUAUUUGUGAGGGGAUUUACGACAUUUUGAAUGUAAUUAUGUAAAUUUUCUCCUGUAUUUACUAAUUAGUAAGGCAUUUGAAAAAACAUUAAUUAUUCUUUAAAAUUCGUUAUCAAAUACCUAAAAAUCGGAAAGCAUAUUUAGUAAGGUGCCAUUUGAUCCGGUUCUCUUUUCUUACUUUUCAUAUUUCUAAGUUCUUUCAUUCCUUGUCAUUCAAUACUACGGUCUUGUGGUAUUCAUCUUCACUUAGAAGUGAGAGGUCUUAGGUUCAAAUCUCAUAGAUGGCGAAUUCAAUAUCAAAUUAGGUUUGCCCAUUGUCACAUCGUGGCCUGGGCUCCACCACAUCCCGGGUUUGACUCCGCCGUAGCACGAUAUUGUCCGUUUUGGGCCCCGACCACGCCCUCACGGUUUUGUUUCUGGGAAUUCACACAAGAACUUCAUAGUGGGUCAUCCAUCCUGGGAUUCUCUUGUGAGAACUCGCUUAACUUCGGAGUUCCUACGAAAUCCGAAGCCAGUGAGCUCCCAAAAUGCCUCGUGCUAAAUGAGGUUGGCAUGUACAUAUAAGGCAUAGAGGAUCCACUCCCCUGGGCGAUGUGAGAUCUAACAACCAUUGUGUGGCUUAACCGAACUCUCAUUCCCCUUAACGUAAAACUAUAUCGAUGUACUCAAAAAGUUAUUUCAUUCCCUUAUUUUCUCAUUUAUGAUAAGUAAAUAUUGAAUUAAGAUAUAUGGAUCCAAUAUUGCAUAUCGUGUUUAUUUCGUUUUCCUACCUUUCAGUUGGUCCAACUAGGUCCGAAAGUACUCAUAAGGUAAAGUAAGGCUCAAGGAAUACAUAGUGUUCACAACAUCAUAAAAAUAAUAAGGAAAUACAAUGGAGGGGUUUAGUAGAGAGCCUUGUGGCGUAGUAAACAACAAUUUAGGUCAUGAGGACUAGAGGCAAUGUUGACCAACUUCUUAUGUCAAGUUUCAGGGGGUAAAAAUGAUCAAAAUCGAGUUGCAAGAGGCUAAGUAGUGCGAAUUAUGAGUCUAAGGGAGUAAAGUGGCGAUUUUGAGUUACAUGGAGCAAAGUGAGAUUAAAAUCAAGGGUGUAACUAAAAAUAAGCCCAUUUGUUAACUCUCUUGGUUUGAUCAUGUAAUUUAAAUGUUGUUUGGUUAUUUUUCUAAAUUUCCUAAUAAAUAUUGGAAGGCAAACAAACUCAUAAAUCAUUAUGCAUUGUGUUAGUGAAUCAUGUUGAAAACAAGUCAAUCCUAUUUAGGUUAUGUACAAGGAAGGGUACAUGAAUCCUGCUCUAGAUGUUUCAAUAUGUCAUCAAAUAGUUUGGAUUGCAAUUGUCUCUGAAUCAAUUGAGGUUCUACUAUAAAACCAAUUGGCUAUAUGGAGAGUAGUCUAACUACUUAUAAACUCAUGCAAGGUCCUUUCUCCCAUCAAUGUAUGACUCAUUCUCAACAUGCCCCUCAUGUGUGUCAAUUUUUCAAGUCUAACACGUGGAUAACACAACUGGGUGACAUCAAGCAUGUGUGGUCGUUUUACCGUUUGACUUCACACGUGAGACAACUUGUUCUGGAACUAUGAAGAAAUUGAGGUUCCACCAUAAAACUAAUUGGUUGUAUACAGAGUAGCCCAACUACAGAUUUCAUACCAAAAUCGAAAACCCUUAUCAAUUCCAUCUGACCCGGGAAAAAAUUUGGUGAGUCCUUGAGUCAAGGCUACACUAAAUUAGAGACUUUCUCGACCUUCUCAGGUACUGCAGAAUGGUCCAAAAAAGAAUGACAGAAGUUUUAUAGUGGGUGACAUAAAUAUUUUCCUCUUAACAAAACAAAGAGACAUGAAAUCCAUUUUAGAAGAAAGUUGGGAACUUUCUCGAAAAUCUUGCACCCAGUCACUCUGGUGAGGAGAAAUGUUAAAGGAAACCAGGAAGCUUCCUGGAAAGUUGGUCUUCCACUUUUUUUUUUGUGGAAAAUAAUUAUCCUUUCACUUUUGUCCUACAUUUGUUAACGUGUUCCUUUUAGCUUUUCCUCUUGACUGAAUAUUGGAAAGUGGACAGCUUUUGCAUCGGGAUUUCCAUGUUGCUUCUUUCAAGGAGAUUUACAUUGAUUGCACCGAAAUAUUAGAGCGUUGUGGCUCAAUUUUGCAUCCUAUAUUAACUUUGUGACAUAACAACACGUAAUAAAUUAUUUAUACCGUUGUCUUAACGUUUCUGUUUCACAUUAGAGGAAAAAAAAGAAAAGAAUGAAUGUUACUAAGUGUUUAACCAUAUCUUAUCCAUAGCUUCUCUUUCUUUUCUUUUUUUUUUUAGGACCAUUACCAACUGUUUUUUAUAAGGAAUUUAUAUGGUACUCAAGAAUAUGAGAUACUCCGAAUGUUUUAACCAUUACAUCUUUGUUUAAAAAUACAAAUAUCAUUCACUUAGUAUUACGGCUUAUUGAUAUUUAUCUUCACUUGUAAGAAGAGGUCUUAGGUUCGAUUCUCGUCAAAGACGAAUUUAAAUCACAUUAUUGCUUGCUAGCCCAUUGUGAGGCAAAACCCACCUCUUCCCUUAGUGUAAAUAAUAUCGUUUGCUAAAAAAAAAAUACAAAUAGCAAAAUAUAACAGUUAUAACACCUGAGUAUCAACUUAGUACUACGAUCCAGUGAUAUUCCUUUUCACUUAUAAGUGAAAGGUGAUCUUAAGUUUGAUUCUCGUCAAAAACGAAUUUGAAUCAAAUUAUUGCUGGCCGAUUGUGAAGUUAAACUCACCCCCUCUCCCUUUAGUAUAGAAAAUAUCGUUUGUUCAAAAAACAAAAAAAUCUGAGUAUCCCAUACUACAAACCAUCCUAAUUUUUUUUGUUCUUCUCCCACUUUAGGAUUUAGGUAAACAGUCAUACUAACUUUUCUUUGUCAAACAAAUAAUUCACCAUCUAACACUAUAACCCACACUAAACCGUGCGGUGACCACCACCACUACUACCAAUAGAAGUACUCCGGUUAUCCAUCUCUCUCCCGUUUAUUUCCAUUCCUACUUCUCUCUGUCUCUCAAUUUUCUCUCUCCUACAACUUUGCUGUGAGAAUUUUCAGUGUGAUUUUUUCUGCUCCUUUUCUUACCAUUUGUCACUUACACAUCUAUAUAACACUCAGUGUUCCUUUGUCUGUUUUUUAGGAACCGAAAGGCGUAUGCUGCCUUUGGAUUACAAUUGUUUCAAAUACUACUUAGGCUUCAGAUUUCAUACAAAAAUCGAAAACCCUUAUCAAUUGUGCAUCUGACUGGGAACAAAUUUGGUGAGCCCUUGAGUCAGGGCUACACUAGAUUAGAAUAGGGAUGGUUCAAAAAACCGAAUCGAUACAAAACCAAACUAAACUGAAAUUGGUUAGUUUGGUUUCGGUUUUUAUGGUUCAAAAACCGAACUGAAGUAACACUUAAAACGAUGUCGUUUUUGUAAUUUUGUCUUUUACGGGAGGACAGUGCGUUGUUGUGUAUAUAUACACUUGUAUAAACAAAUUGUUGUGCUUUUAUAUAGAUACUGAGGAUGUGGUUGUGUUUCUUGUAAAAGUGAUUAUCAUUAACAUAAUUCACUCUAUACAAAUAUAUCAAAGAUCAUAUUGUGGCUCAUACUUUUCAUCGUACAUACCGUCGCUGUAUUAUUUAUUAGCGGGCAUCUGAUUGACAGUAAGAGUUCUUUUGCAGAACCAUAUGAUCCAAUUAUCUUUCUGCCUAUUAUGGGCAGAAAUGGGUAAUUGAUCGUUUUAGCCUCAAUUGUUUUGGUAGAGUUUAAUUGAUAUUGUUGUAGUCAUUGUCUUUGGACAAACAUGUUUCAUGCAGUACAUUAUUUGGGUUUGCUGCUAAGCCUCCACACAGUUUGAUUUUCUAUUCCUGAUGAUAUUUUUCAGAUUUAAAAAAUAAUAAUCAGGUUUUCUAUAAAACAAAAUCGAAUAGAACUGAAAAAAAUCGAACCGAAGUUAAAUCAAGAAAAAAUCAAACCAAACAAUAAUUUCGAUUUGAUUUUCAAUUUUGACAAAAAACUGAAAAGAUUGAAUUUGAACCUACUCCUAAAUUAUAGAAUUUCUCGACGCACAGCAUACUGGUUCCAAAAAUGAUGAGAAAAGUUUUAUAGUGGGUGACAUAAUUAUCUUCCUCUUGAAAAAAAACAGAGACAUGAAAUCUUUUCUUAGAAGAACGAUAACAUGUCCCAACAAGGAAUGGAAAUAUGCAAUAGUCGGUCUGCCACUUUUAUGGUGGAAAAUAAUUGUCCUUCAACUUUGGUGUUUCUCUUGAACGGAGUAUUGGAAAGUGGACAGCUCUUAUAUAGAGAUUUCCUUGUUGCUUUUUUUUCAGAGGGAUUUAACUUGCACCAAAACCUUAGGUGGGACUUAAAUUUAUCUCCACCUCACAUCGUAUUUUAACAUUGUGAUAUGAAAAUACCUAAUAGAUUAAUUACACCGUUGUCUUGGCACUCCCGUUUCACAUAAAUAAAAAAGAGUGAGUGACUAAUAACCAUAACUUCUCUUUCUAUUUUUGGACCAUAACUUCUCAACCGUACAUCAUGAAUUAUGCGGUCAGAAAUCAUUUUACUUUUAUUAUUUUAAAUUAAACACAAAUAAUAUCUGAUAAAAAAUGACUACACGAUAUAUGAUAAACAGAUAAGAUGUGAGAAUCCUUAAAAUCCUUACCUAAUGCAUCCGGAGAGGAUCCGUGUUCAUCAAAAUAUAAUAGAUAUAACACCCUACAAGCCACCCUAAAUUUUUUGUUCUUUUACUCUUAGUUUAAGUCAUCCAAACAAUCAUACUGACUUUUCUUUGUCAACAAAAAAUUAUCAUCUGACACUAUAACCACACUGAACCGUGUUGUCACCACCACCACUCCUACCAACAGAUAAAACUGCGGCUGUCCAAGUGUCCAUCUUUCUGUGUUUUCUAGGAACCGAAGGGCAUAGGCGGCCUUUCAUUUUCUCUGUGCUGAUGGGAACCAAAAGAAAACCAUCCACUGCCUUGUACUAUUGGCUGCAUUAUUUCUUUACUUUUUUACAUUGGUAACAAACGAAUUAACGGAACAUAAUUUAAAAAAAAAGGAAAAUUUUGAAAUAGGUUCAAUUUUAUAAGCUUACUUUAGAAAUAGAUCCAAUUUUUAGUGAUUUUUUAUUUUUAAAAUAGGUUCAAGUUUUAGUUACUUUGGACUCAUAUCAAAAUACCCCUUUUUAUCCGUUGAUCUUCUAACAUGAAUAUAUAUUCUGGGGUGUGUUAUUCACACGAAACUUUAGAGUUGCGUGGCUCAAAUUUAUCCUCACUUCACAUUGUAUUUUAACUUUAUGACAUGAAAACACGUAAUAAAUUAAUUACACCAUUAUUUUAACGUUUUUGUUUCAUAUAAAAAAUUAAAUUUUUAUUUAAAAAUACAAAUAUCAAAAUAUAAUGGUUAUAAUAGUAUACCUUACUAUAGACCACCAUAAAUUUUUUGUUCUUUUGCUCCUACUUCAGGUAAACGAUCAUAUUAACUUUUCUUUGUCAAAAAAAAAAAAUUUCACAAUCUAACACUAUGACCCACACUAAACCGUGUUGUCACCAACACCCCUACUACCAAUAAAGUACUCGGGCUGUCUUCCUCUAUUUUUUAGAAAUGAGAAAGGCUUACGGUUGUUUAACUAAAUUAACCAAUAAGUUUAGAGGAAAAUUAAUGAAAAAAAUUUAAAAAUUUUGAGUCUUAAUGAUAAUGACAAAAUAAAGAGUAAAGUGAAUAGUAUCAGGUUUGACUUUUUAAUGUAAAAAUGUGGUUUUUCAUUAAAGUUAACAGUACCGUGGACUUUUCGUUAAAACUCCCUGAAUUUAAACUUAAAACUAAUACGAAACCAAUGAAUUGUUACAGAGAAGUCAAAAGUCUUACAGAGAAAUUAAAACUAAAAUUUUGACUCUUUUACUCCUACUUAGGUAAACAGUCAUGCUAACUUGAAGAAAUAAUUCACCGUCUGCCACUAUCAGUCUAUCACCAACACUAAACCGUGUGGUCCCCACCACCACUGCCGGUAGAAGUAGUACUCGGCUGUCCAUCUCUUUCCCAUUUGUUACAACUGUUCUGUGUGAAUUUUCAAUGUGAUUUUUCUGCUUCUUUCUUUGCCAUUGUCACUUUUCUCUGCCUGUGUAAGUUUGUGUUGAUCCUGUAUUUUGUUUUUCUGGUUUCUCUGAGCCCUUAAUCUCAUUUGCUUAAUGUACAAUUUCAAUUACCAAAACAAGAUUUAAAGUUUCUAUUUUCUUGUCACUGCUCAUUUUUCUUUUACUUGUUCAUUGACUACUAUUUUUGUUUUUGUUUGCAGAACCCAUUUUUCAGUAACUGAAUAUGAUUCAACGAGUUUAAACUGAGUUAUAGGGGACUGUAAGAUCAAAUCGAAUUGUCAAAUUUGUGUUGGCACUGAGUCAAAUAUCUGAUCGCAGUGAGUCCUUGUAGUUCCGAAUAAAAAUUGGAUAUUGUAGAUUACCAAAAGAAGAUAUAAAGUUUCAAUUUUUUUUUUUAAUUUUAGAACAUGGAUCUUCUAUUCUUUUUACUUGUUCAUCCAGUUACUGUUUCAUGUUUGCAGCACCCAAUUUACAGCAACUGUCUUUUCCUAUGGCGUUGAGCACCCAAAUAGCCUCUGCAUCUUUUCUUUCGAAUGAAUCAGCUCCUCGAUGGAAGUAUGACGUGUUUUUGAGUUUUAGGGGUGUAGACACCCGCAAGGGCUUUGUAUCCCAUUUACACCAUGAAUUGUCCAAGUGCCAAGGAAUUACGACUUUCAUGGACGAUCGAGAGCUUGAAGGAGGAACAAGUAUUCAUCCUGAGCUCCGAAGGGCGAUCGAAGAAUCGCAUAUUGCAAUUGUUGUUCUCUCACCAAACUAUGCUUCUUCCAAAUGGUGCUUGGACGAACUUACAAUCAUUCUUCGAUGCAUGGAAUCCAGGAACUCAGUUCUGCCGGUCUUUUAUCAGACAGAUCCAUCUGACGUCGGAAAUCAACGGGGAUGUUUUGCCGAAGCCUUCGCGAAGCAUGAACAAAAUUCGAGCAGUACCGAAGAUAAAGAGAAGGUGGUCCAAUGGAAAGCUGAUCUAAAAAAAGUGUCCAAAAUUUGUGGUUGGCACUCGAAGGAAUCUAAGUAAGCAAGCAUGAACAACUUUAAUUUCCUAUGUCUUAGCAGAGUCAAAAUUGGAUGCUUCAUUUAUGUUUUUUUGAUUGGUUAUUUCAUACCAUGUAGGAGUGAAAGUGAGAUUAUACAACAACUCGUCGUAAGUGUGUGGAGGAAAGUGCACGCUACAUUCCGGUUGUUAGAUUCCUCACAGAAAUUAGUUGGGGUUAAUUUUGGGCUUGAGCAACUAAGUUCGUUGUUAGCUCAUGAUGUCAAUGAUGUUCGCUUUAUAGGGUUAACGGGGAUGGGUGGCAUUGGUAAGACAACCCUUGCCAAGCUAGUUUAUGAUAGAAUCUUCCAUCAUUUUGAAGUUCCCUGCUUUCUUGAAAACGUUAGAGAGGCUUCUAAAGCAGACCCUACUCUAAUUCGUCUUCAAGAAACACUUCUUUCACCGAUGUUGAAAGAAAAGAUUCUUACGCAACAAUGGGGAAUCAAUUACACCAAGAGAUGCUUAUGGAACAAAAAGGUUCUUCUUGUACUUGAUGAUGUGGAUCACAUAAACCAGCUACAAGUACUAGCUGGAAAGGAAGAUUGGUUUGGCAGGGGAAGUAGAAUUAUCAUUACAACUAGAAAUGAACGUCUGCUAGUCCAGCAUGACAUAACAUUAUGUCAUAAUGUCAAAGUGUUAGAUAAAGACGCAGCUCUUGCAUUGUUUAGCCUACAUGCCUUUAAGAAAAAUAUGCCUGAGGAUGGGUUUUGGGAACUGUCAACAUAUUUCAUUAAUUAUGCUGGAGGCCUUCCAUUAGCUCUUGAAACUUUGGGUCGGCAUUGUUUAAGAGAAGGCUAGACACUUGGAAUAGUGUGUGGGAUAAUCUGUCAAAAAUUCCUAAUCCAGCAAUUUUUGAUAAACUUAAAGUAAGUUAUGAUGGACUAGAAGAGUGGGAGAAGAGAAUUUUUCUUGAUGUUGCAUGUUUCCACAAAGGGAAGUACACGAAGGAAGUAAUUAAAAUGCUAGAUAAUUCUUUUGGAAUUUCUAGUAGUAUUAUGAUAGAUGUACUAAUUGAGAGAUCUCUCAUCUAUCAAGAUCAUAGAAAAUGCAUAUGGAUGCAUGAUUUGAUUCAAGAAAUGGCAUGGACAGUUAUUGUUCAAGAGUCUAAAGAGUCUGGUCAACGCAGUAGGUUGUGGCUUUACAAUGACAUUGAUCAUAUAUUCACGACGAAUACGGUAAGAAGUGGUAUACUAAGUUUAGAAGAAGAUAUGAUUUCUUUUGACACUAUAUUAUUAUAUGAAAUUAAUUCGUCAUUUUUUUCCUUAAUUGUUAGGGAACAGGAGCAAUUGAAGCCAUAUCCUUACACCUACUCAAAGUAGAAGAGGUACGCCAGUGGAAUUGUGAAGCCUUCUCUAAGAUGGAUGGAUUGAGGUUUUUGGAAUUCGAUAAUUUGAUAUUUUCUUCAGGCCCCAAAUUUCUUCCAUGUUCCUUGAGAAUUAUAAAUUGGAGUUGGUAUCCUUCUAAUUUUCUUCCAACCAGCUUUCGCCCGCACUUGCUUGCUAAACUUGAGAUGCGUAAUAGCAAUCUUGUUCGUCUAUGGGAGGGAAAAAUGGUAAGAGUAGUUAUGAACAAAAGAUAAUAUUGGUUACUCACUACUCACCUUUUGAUUUUGUCAAAUGAUAUUUUAACACAUUAUUUUAAAAAAUAGUAGACGUGUUAUUUAAUUUUUCUUGAGUUUUAAAAUCAAGGAAUGCUUGAUAUUUUUUUAUUGUACAAUCCUGAAGGUCCCAAAUUUCUUCCAUAUUCAUUGAGAAUAAAUGCUAUUUAAUUUACAAAAUAAUCAUAUAUUUAUUUAUUUAUUAUUUUGAAUAAACUUUAAGGUUGUGGAAGCUAAGUAUAUGAUCUGAACCUUAUCGAUGAUGUUGUGCAGGACUUACCCAACUUAAAACAUAUCAAUAUUAGCUACUCCUAUAAAUUGAAGAGUACCUCAGAUUUAAGUGGUAUUCCAAAUCUUGAGAGGUUUAUUCUUUGGGAUUGUAAGAAUUUAGUUGAGAUACAUCCAUCUAUUGCAGUCCUCAAAAGACUUGAGGUUUUGAACCUUGGUAACUGUGAAAGCAUUAAUAGCCUCCCAAGUAAGGUUGAAAUGGAUUCUCUUGAAUAUUUCUUUCUUAAUGGCUGCUCAAAUGUGAAAAAGAUUCCAGAAUUUGGGGAGCAGAUGAAGAAUGUAUUGCGGAUUCACUUAGAUGGGACUGCGAUCGAGAAAAUACCUUCAUCAAUUGGACAUCUGGUUGGCCUCAGGGAAUUGCAUGUAAGGAAUUGCAAAAAUCUCUUGAACCUUCCAAGGGCGAUUUGUAAUUUGAAGUCUCUUGAAUGGCUCUAUGUGAGUGGAUGCUCAAAGAUUGACAAACUCACUGGAGACAUGGAUCACUUA
rnacentral:lncRNA from 1 species